UUUUUUUUUUUUUUUUUUUUUUUUUGUGAUCAAAAGGGAGAAGAAGGAUGCCAAAUGGCAAUCUUUCCUUUUUCUUUUUGGCUAGGAUAAUGGCAGUCAAAAUGACGCAGAAAUAGAUACCCUUGCUCCGAAAAAUGCAGAGGAACACUGGAACAGGCAGCUAGUGGGGCGAAGGAUAUGUUUGUUGUGCUGAUACUUAUCGGGAUGACGGGCUAUGUCACACGAUUCAACCCAUAAGUGGCCAUGCCUUACCAACAACUUUCUUGCUGGUGCUCAACACAGGAAAACAGAUUUUGACAAAAUUCCAUCCAAAAAUGAUAAAGCCUUUCUUAUCUAGUCAUCUUCUCCAAGUCCAACUGCCCAGAACAUUAGCUCAUAACCAUCCCUUUUGUGCUUCAACUGUAUCUCUUUUUAUCUUCCUUGCUUUUGGGAUCUUCUGAUGUUACUAGAAUAUAAAAUUAGAAUUGCUUGUGUAUUUGUUUCACCCAACUUACAGAAGCAUCUUGCAUUCGUCAUUUUUAUACACUGUACCUUCUGCAAGGGAACUCAGCGUUGGUAUCAAGAAACUCAAAAGGUUAAAAUCCAUACUGUCACAUUUUCAAUCUUGCUUGUAGAUGAGAAUUGCAAGCUAAAUACAUGCGCCAGUAUUCCAGAGUAGCUAGUGUAGUUUAUCUGACGACGGAAUGCUUGUUUUAGCUGGAAUGAAUCCCAAACGAUGUUAAAAUUGUCCAGCUUUAGCUUUCUUCAAAAAGCAGACAACUCGCUUGAGCAGAGGAACCUGAUACCAAAAGCCUGGCCAAAAGUUUGGGCUUGUGCAAUGCAGAUUUCAAGAUAUUUGUUGAUCUUCUUGGUUUGGAUAGAAUGUUUGGUGUGUGAUCAAAAUCAAAGAUAAUCAACUUCCACAUGAUAGAUCCCUUAACACAUAGGACGUAGCAUGUAAGAUGAUCCCCUUCAGAAAAACAGGGGAAAGAAACACUGAUCAUUGUGUAAUAGCACUCAGCUAGCGAGAUAACAAACAAGAGGGAUAAUGUGUAUUUUCCUGCAAUAAUCCAUAUGAGACAAUGAUGCAAGAACUCGAUGCUGACAGGACAAAAAGUGAGCGCCUUUAAUUCCCAACUCUUUCCACCCACCAGGAGCCAUUCAUCUACUGUCACUUUCAUUUUAUCAGUUACACAUGUUUCCUUCUCCAAUCGAAUUGAUUCCAAAGUGAAGGGUAUAAAACAAAACUACACCAAUUACAGAACAUAGACCAACAAUGAGAGUUACAUUCAAGAUUACUUUCAGAGAAAAAGCACUUAAUCAGCUGGCAAAAUUCUUAAGAAUAUCAUUUCCUGAAAUCCAAACAGAGUUAAUCCGCCUGACAUUUGAACUGAUAGGAAUCAUCCCAGUUCCUAAUGGCCAAAAUCGAAUUCGCACGCACAUGUUCGAUCUAAAAUCAAAGAAUUGAAAGGCUAUUACUAGGAAAUUGCCAAUAAGCUCAGUUUUAAUGCAAGGAGAAGGAUACAGAAGACAGGAAACCAGAAGCAAUUAGACUAACAAAUGAAAUAAAUAUGAAAUUCAGAUUUUUAUUGAUCGAAAGAAUUCAAAAAUAUGUACCCAAAAACAACAACAGAUACAUGCCAUAGAACAAGAAAAUUAAACAACGUCAUACACUCUAAUGAUAGUAGCAGCAGCAAAAGUCAAAAGUUAAAGAAACUAUCCAUCCCAGAGCUGUUAGCAGCCGCAGAAACAGAAGGACUCAGCAGAUCUUGGAAGCAAUAAUUCUCAAGGGAACCGAAUCCAUCAAGCGUUAGUCCAUCGAAAAACCCAUCACUGAUUGGUGAUCCAUUCCCAUCCAUAUCCAUUUCAAUGUCCAUUCCCAUUUUCAUUUCCUUCGUUCCUGGACUGGAUUCCUCCUCUUCCUCAUCCUCCACCAUCACAACCACACGUUUUCCCUUGUCUACUGCCUCCUCCUCCUCCACCACCGCGGGCAUAUGCCCUUCAAACAAGGCCAUAUGCCCAAACAACUUAUCCUUUCGCGAAAAACUCGUCCCGCAAGAACACUUCCACUUGGUCUCCCCACAAUGCUUCAAAUGGCUCUUCAAAUCCGCCACAACAGAAAAGCUCUUCUUAUUACACCUAUUACACGAAUACAUCUUGGGACAAUGACUUCUCUUAAAAUGAUUCUUCACACAAAUCGCCGAUUUCAACGGCCUAAACUUCUUAUGCUGCUUAUUCCUGUUACAUCCCACAUACGGGCAUGAAAAUCUCGUCUUCCUAAUCAUGUCUUUCUCUGCUCCUCCUCCAGAUUCACCACACCUCGCUGGCUUUGCUAAUGCUUCAACCGUCUUGAACUGAUUCCCAUGAGCCCUCAUAUGCAUCCUCAAAUUAGCAUCCCUCUUAAACCCUUUACCACAAAUCUCACAAAAAUGGAUAUGCUCAGCUAAAAGCUCAACAGCAUCGAGCUCCAAGAUUUCAUAAUCAUCGCUUUCUUCAUCCUCCGCCACCUCAAUCUUCGGGUCAACCAACUGAUUCCCCACCACAGUAUCCUUAGCUGUGUCAAACCUCAUUUUCUUCUCAACCUUCUUCUCCUCAACAUCAGAUGCUUGUGGCAGAGAAGUUGCCUGGGUAGAUUGAGUGCAAGCCAGAAGAGCAGCGCCGUUGACUAUGAUCUGGCGGAUGGCGGAGGUGAUUUCGGUGGAGACCAUGUCCAUAUGGUCUUGACCAAUUAAAGUUUUGCUGUUGACUGAAUCAGACAGGAAUUUCUGGAGAUUGUCCAUCCGGGCUUGGACGGUGGAGAGGUUCAGUAACGCGACUGAUGGGUCAGCGCCGCCUGGGUAAGGGGCGGCGCCUCCGGGUGGCUUGGCGGAGGACGGCAAGUUACCGAGAAAUGACAUAGUAAAAUAAAAGAGAGGAAAACAGGUUGCUUUUCUUUUUUUCUCUCUCUUUUACUGGGUUCGGCGAGUGUGGAAAUAGGGAAGAAAGUACGUGUUUGUGUGUGAAAGUUAUUUAUAGUAGGAGUAUAAGAGUUGGAAGCAGGAAACAGGUGGGAAGGAGUCAGAGUUGACGGGUGAAAACUGAAAAGGGACAAAAUUGGAGAGGGCGGUGUAGAUGUGGCGAGAAGGUGGUUUGGAUGUGGACCGUUGGAUUUACGAGUAUAGAUCUGAUUAAUACUACGUAGAAGAUGAUGUAAUAUGGACUUUUAACCAUUUUUGUUUUGGUAUGGUAUUAAAAAAAAGUAGACAAAAGAAAGAAUAGAAUUUUCUGUUCCUGUAUGGAUUGCAGUUUUCUGGAGUUUUUUUUUUUUUUAGAAAAUGUUUUAUAGCGAUUUGAUGUAUGUGAGAUAAAAAAAUAAUUGAAAAAUGUGUCGAUGGAGAAUGUAAAAAAUUUUUGUUGAAAAAUGGCUUUCCAAACAAGGCUAAAUUUAAAAAAAAAAAGACUUCUCAUGUCACCUUCUAUUAUGUUACACAUUUAAUUUUGCUUAAAUUUCAAGAACUAUAAAGAGGCAAAAAAUGAAUAUAACAUGUCGAAAAGGCAAAAUGUAACAAAAUAUGACCAUUUCGCUUAUGUAUUAUUUGUUACCUGUUCAUAGUUAUUGGAAUUUAAAAUAUAAAAGUUGGAAUUUAUGAAACACAAAUAAAAAUGUAAUACAAAUCGAAUAUGCACUGGGAUAGAAAAGUAGAACAUAAAUAUUUGGAGAGAAGAAAGCUCUUGUGCUAACUAGUUAGCAAAAUAUGUGAAGGAUUGGGGGAUAGGUUGAAUAAUACCGAAGGAAGGACUAUAAAUAAGAAAUUUCGAAUUCAAAAUCUCCUAUUUACAGUAAAAAAAAAAAAAGAAAUGAGAGGGAUUAGAACAUCACCCUUGGUUUGGUGAUUAGAAAAAAAAAAUGUUCUGGUUGUGUUAGUUGGGAUUUUCUGUUUUGCACUGCUAUUUAUUAGACAUGGAACUUUAUAACAAGGAAAAAAAAGGAGGGAUUGAUUAUAAAAGUUUUUAAAAUUAUCUCUCAUUCUUGAAUUGCGUAUAUUUUUGCUCAAAAAAUUGUGUAUACUUUUUGAGAAUAAAUCUGCACACCAUUGCUAAAAAAGAAAAAAAGUGACAUAAAACCUUCUUUUUAUCUGUUCCUAACCGAGAGUAGAUGAACCUUUGUCUGUUUUUGUUCUUUUCUUGGCGUGUAUGGUCAGUUUAGGAAAAUCCGGAAUUAUCGGUUUAUAUGUGGUUCCAAUCUAUGCAUUAAAAUAUUGACAGAAGACAUGUCGGUCUAACUUGAAAAUAUUUAAUCUUUCCAACCCUUUAGAUAAUCAAAGUCAAUCUGUUCUCAUAUAAAAUUGGAACAUGGAUAUGUUUCGUGAGAAGAUAUAUCACAGUUUUCAAUCGCUUUAUUAUCUCAUAGUAUAAUACAUCAUGAUAUAUCUCAUUUUUUUCAAAUAAUAUUCCGCUUGUAUCGUAAAUAUAUUUUUCAAUCCAUUUUUUUUAUAUUUUCAAUUACAUUUUAUUUUACGUAAAUCACAUCACAAAAAGUGUUACAGUAAUUAUUGUAAAUAAUUUUUCAAAUAAUACUCUGUCCAAACAAAACCAUCUCACAUGGUACAUCACAUUACUCUGAAGGGUGUGUUAUUGUAUUAUUAUUUUAUAAAACCACUUUCAAACAAAUGCACUUAAAUAGAAGUAUAGAACUAAUAAAAUGUCUUUUUCUCCCUUUAAGUGCCAUAAGAGCUUAACUUAGACUAAUUCAACUACAUAUUAGUGGUACACCUUUUCAGGAUAAUUAUUUAUAUAUAAAUACUAAGUCACUAAAGGGGUGUUUGAUAAUUGGGUUUUAAGACAGAAUAAUGUGUUUCAAUUUCAAUUAUAUCCAUAUGGGAACUAAUUAACGAGUUUCACAGACCCUCUACGGGAAUCAUGAUUAACUACUAAAAGUUUUCACGUAUUCAUUGUCUUUUUACUAUUAAGAUACAUUGCUGUAAGGUCAUCUCACACCCUACGGGUUUUCAUCAAACUCAUAACUAAUCUUGAAUUUGUCAUGCCUAUAGUGAUAGUGUGAUAGUGAAAUUUGAACCAAACGACUCGUAACAACUUUUGAUUAUGUUCAUAUUUUGCUUGCUCCAUUAAUGAUGAGCCUAUUAUCAGCACCACUGUUAGUCAGUAGCUUGAAAUCAUUUGUCCCGAAUUUCGUUUAUGUCCCCGUCUGUCCUGUUUUUGCUUAACUGUCACGUAUAUUGAUUAAUAAUUUAAAAUUAUAUUGUAAAUAAAUUCAGCAGUCAAUAACUCUUAGAAUUCUAUUAAGAGAUAAGUACAGCAACACAAUACGCAUGACAGUUAAAUAAAAUGGAACAGAGACGGGACAUAAACAAAAUUUGAGUUAGAUAAAUUUGAAGCAGUGUCGGCCAGUACACACGUUAGAGAAUAAAACUACAAAUAAUGCAAAUAAUUAUGAAUAUGUCUGUGGGGGUCUGCCAUUACUUGCCCCUAAUCCUUGGAAUGAUGGUUCCGGUAGUUGAUGCACACGCCACCAUGUUUACCUAUCGGAAGACUAGCCACUCUUCGUGGAGGAAGUGGGCAUGGUGGUCUCCACCAUGGCCAUCAAAAUGGAAGACCAUUACCGUUAAUUAAAAGGGCAAUUACUGCUAAUCAAUGGGGAUUAGUGGACCAAAGUGAUAUUUUAGUAUUAGUUAUUUCAAUUAUUUUAGUCUCAGUCACUUGGUUUUGAUAAUACACAGAGGCUUGGUCAUAUUUUAUUCUUGGCACUGCCAACAACAAUGUGCAAAUGCAGAGUGUUUCCUAGAAGGUUGAGUCUUUGUUUGUAUUUUAUUGAAAAUUGUGCAAGAAGAACUUUGACAACAUCAUCACAAACAACCUGUAGUUUAAAUUAAUCAAAAAGCACAAAAAUUAUGUGGCAAAUUUCAUUCUCUUACUUUUUCCAAAAAAAAAAAAUGGUGCAUUCAUGGUCCGGCAUUUAUAGUUUCAAAACUAGAAAAUGUUCAAUAUUUCUAUCCCCGCAGAGAAAAUGCUAAAUAGGAUAGGAGUCAAGAAAAACAAUUGGCAUAUAAUAUCUUGAAUUAUGGGUUCCUAACAAUUUGAUUGAAGCACUUUAAGCUAAUGGUUCACGUUCAAAGAUUAGUUGACUAGUCUAGUCCUCUGCCUUGAGUAUUCGUUUGGUGCUAGAGCAAUGUGAAACUUGAUAUUGGCCCACAACUAUGCAAGGUGGUUAGGAACCAAGUGCAAUGAAUGCUGCUUAAUAUGCCAAUCUAAGAGUGAGAUACUCCUAAAUUUUAAAUGGGAUAAUAUCAUAAGCCUCCUUUGAGGUUGCUCUUAAUAUCACUUAGUACCUCAAAAGUUUUAAAAAUAUCAUAUGCCUCCCUUAUUUUUGUUAUUUGUGUAAUAAAAUUUUAAAAAUUUGUAAUUACACUUUUGCUCAUUUUCCUAAAUAAAAAUACUCCUAAUCUGCUUUAUUUACUCGAGGACAAAUCACCACCAAAAAACACAAUCUGUAGUAGUACCACAGCAUCACAAAUCUGUAGACCACAAAGAUAUAAAUUUGAAAAAUAAAAAAGAUAUUUGUAAAUAAAUACACUAGCACCGAUUUAAUUUUGUGUAUUUAAAAUUGAUUUCUUAUGAAUCUUAUAUUUUUUUCUAUCUCCGUCUCAACCUUUAAAUUGUACUAAUCAUUAUAAAAAUCAACUCAAAAUAAAUAAAUAAAUCAUACUUCACUCUAUCACAAUCACAAAAAGGUAAAAAAUAAACCAAAUUCAAUUUACUAUAAUUUAAAAAUAAAAAAUCAGAUAGUCAUCCAAAAAAAUGAGUAAGAGAGAAUGUUGGAGAAAGAAGAAAUAGAAGAAAGUGGCUUUUGUUUCUUUUUUUUUUUAAUUUUUAGCUCCAUUUUUUUGAUAUAAGAAUUAUAUAUCAAGUGAAAGUUCGUAUAAUCUUUUUGCAAUUAUUAGGGGAGGUAAAUGAUAUUUUUUAAAACUUUAGGAAUGCUAAAUGAUAUUAGGAGAAACUUCAAAUGAGGUUUUUAAUAUUUAUCUCAUUUUAAGUCACCUUAAGAAUUUUAUUUUUUUUUUAGUACAAGGGAGAGCUAAUCAGCUCAUUACAUAGACACUAGACACUAAUCAGCUCAUUCAUAGGUCUAUGUUCAAAAGGUUUCAGUUUAGCUCAGUGUCGAAGUGUUAAAAUCAUAUCCUCCACUAAUUAAAGUUUUGAGCGACAUUAAAAAAGGGUAAAGUUGUGAUGGUAAGAUGCAAAUUUUCGUCGCACUUAUUUGCCUAUGGAAGGCAAGAAGUUUGAGAUGCAAAUGUUUCUUUAAAUCGUCGUACAGAAACUACAAGAAAAUGGAUAUAUAUAUAUAUAUAUAUAUAUAUAUAUAUAUAUAUAUAUAUAUAUAUAUAUAUAUAUAUAUAUAUAUAUAUAUAUAUAAAGCAGAGCCAAACUAGGAUAUUAUGAGUGGCCAUGAGCCAUUAAUGAGGCCAAUUUUUUUAAGUAUAUUGUACUAGGUAUUACAUUGAAAUAUAGGUAGUGUAUGGCCAAAGAAAAUAUAUCUAUUUUUGGUGCGAUCAGCUUCCCGUUUCCACUCUUGCUUUUUAUAUUGAUUUUUUUUGGGUAUAUUUUUGUCUUUUCUGUUGGAAGGAAAAAGUGCCACUGGACAAGAAUGCAUGAAGAAUAUGGAGAAGAAAUUGGAUGGAUCAAUUAAAUUGUUCUAUCUUUUACUGAUUUUAGGAUUAUGUUAAUUUCCUCGAUUAGCUGUUUUUCCGUGUGAUGAGUUGCUUGAUCAUAAACUGGUCCAUAUUUGCACUGUCACCAUGGCAAACUAAGCUGCAAAAUCCAUAGCUGUUCUAGUGAAUUUUGCCCAUAUGAAUCGUGAAACAUAUUUAGUAUAAUUUUCUUAUUUCCAUUUGUUACGGCAAUUUAGUUUCUUGAAAAUUUCAGAAAAGCUCUGAAGUUUCACUGAAGCUACAACUUCAUUAAAGUAAAUCUUCUAGAAAUCUUUUGCAUAAAGUAGAGUAAUACUCACUCUUUGACUUCCUGGCAAAGAAAGCACGGUACUUUCGACAAUUUACCACCGUAAUUAGUAACUGCCCCUUUAAUUUGUCCUAUGGGUAUAUCAAUACAUAAUUUUAUUAAUUAACAACGAGUCAAGAAGUCUAACCAAUAAUAAUCAAAAAGUCAAAUAUAGAAUUAUUGGCAAUCAAUAAUGGAGGUGGGAGUCAAAGUCAUCAAACUUCUGAUUGGGAGUUGCUAAUAAUUUAACAAAAAUUUAAAAGAAGAUUUGCUUCUUGGUUGCUCAAUUGGCCAUUUGUACAUCCCACCGCCAUCACUAUUUCUUAAAAAACUAUUAUCAUAUAAUCAGCGAAGAGUUUGGCUGGUUCUCAAAAUCUUGACCCCAACAUGAUAACUUGUUUACUCGUCCCAGUUCUUUUACUUAGCAUGGCCUAAGGCAAAAUAAGCAUUAAUUGUAGCUAGUGAUGGUGAACCUUUUAUACUAAUUGUAGAGUGUAUAUGUAGGAGAAGAGGAGGUUCAUUAUUAUAUUUCAAAAUUAAGACGUGUCAUCGGGUAUACUAAAGGCCCGUUUGAGGUUGCGAUAACUUAUUAAAAACUACUUUUAUAAAUAGAACUUUUAACAAAAGUACUUAUUAACUACUUAAGUGCUUUUAAAUAUAUUGUUUGGAGGUAUAGUUCAAUAAGUACUUAUUGUAUUGGAUAAUGUGUGAUUUGAAAAUUUUUAAAAGUGUUUUAUCUCUUUAUUUGGUUCAUAAUAUAGGAUAAUACGAUUAAAUUUGAUAUUUUAUUUUUUAAAUUACAAAAGCUACUCUAAAAGCACUAAAGUUGACUUUUUGCAAGAAGUGCUUUUAACAUGUAAAGUUUUAUCCCUAAUUUUAUGAGAUGAUAUUCACCAAACACUUUAAAAAUACUUUUAGCACCUAAAAGUAUAUAUAUAUAUAUAUAUAUAUUUUUUACCAAAAACACCUCAACCCCAAACGGGGCCUAAGUGGCUUAAAGUGAUUCAUUCUUACAUUUGUAUAUGUUGCUUAUCAUUCAAAGUUUUAAUUGGCAACAAUGUUUAUUUGAAUCCAAACACUCCCAAUAGGGCCAAUAUUGGUAAAAGUCUUUACCAACUUACUUCCUAUAUACACUUCUUCCCAUUUUACCAUCCAACUCAAUCCUCACUCGAGUUUUUUGCCAACUGGAUUACAACACGUUGAGGUAUUUGAUUUUCCUGCAAUUUAGGAUCCUAAACUAGAUAAAUUUGGUUUCAAAUUAACUAGUAAUCCAAGCGACUAUCAUCGCCUGGCUAAUUUUGCCAUUGUAUUUUUACUACAUAACUCAUAUUCAACGAUAAUGAUGAUGACAGUCAGCAUGUAUACAUUUUAUUCUCUCCGGAAAGAGUUCCCUCAAAUGUGAUUUAAGCCAAUUGGGGCCGCUACGUUUAUUCUAAAAGGAUUUCUAAACUGAUUAGCCUUAAAUAAAAGGUCAAAUCGCUCUUCAGUAAAAUGUAGGGUUAAUUACACCUUACCUCCUUGAACUUGAGGCUAAAUAACACUUUGCUACUCUGAACUCAAACAAAUUAUCCACAAUUUAACCCCCCCCCCCCUAACAAAUAACCACCUUUUUAUGACAAAACUAACCCUAUUGAUUUCUUUACAUCUGGAACACAGCCUAAAAAUUCACCAACCUCCAUUUUGUCGAUGGUUGCUAAAUGCAGUACAUUACAUAUUUGGCUAGAAAUGAACACCUCAAAAGUCAUCUACAGUACUAGCUACUUAUUUCAGUUGGUUUUGUUUCAGAGAACUUUUUUCGUCAUUUUGAUACUUUAAUCUAAAUUAUGAAAAUAUUUUGUAUAUAUAGUUUUGAAAUCAUAAGAGGACCAUCUGUGAAAGUACUAAAUCACAGGAGUGGUAAUUUACCCCAAAAAAAGUAAAAAUACGCUGGGCUUCGUGUUACACAAAGUGUUUUGAUAAGCACAUAAUCUUACUUUUUGAUUUGGCAUGUAAACAAAAAGAAGAAAGCACUAUACUUUUUGACAAUUUACAUCCUCCGCCAUUAUAGUAGCUAGUGCCCCUUCAAUUUGUCACUGGGAGAAAUCAACACGUUUGAUUUAUUAAGAACAAGUCUUAUCGCGCAUUAUUUGAUUGAUUUUAACCAAGUGAUCUUAAUUUGACAAUAAUGUACCUAUCAACACGUAAAAAUUAAAAUAACGGAGAUGGGAGUCAAAAUCAUUUAGUCGUAGAUUGCUUCUUGCUGCCCAACUGGCCAUUUUAUCUUUUACCGCCGACGUCUUUAUUUCUUGAAAUAAACUAUUAACAGUAGUAGCAAAAUUGAGGAAGAUUUUCCCUGGUUUUCCAAAAUCUUGACGUCUUUGUAUGGUGGACUAAACAAACGGUCCCAUUUCUUCUAAUUAGGCAUGGCUCGUGGCAAAAUGAAUUUUGUAGUAAUGGUGAAAUAAUCUAUGUUGUAAAUAAACACAUUUGUCAGAUGCAGUAUUCGUUUUACUGCACUUUUAGAUCGAAGAUGUCUAGAUAUAUCUGGGUUUAAGCCUACUUAUUAAAUUUACUGCGACGUUUAAAUCAGAAGGUCAAGAUUUAUAUUCCUAGCUACAUCCUCUUCAAUCAUUAAAAUGUACAAAUAUCACUGCUGUUAGUAAAAUUUCUUGAUGAAGUUCAUCUGUAUGAAUAAGUGCUUUUUCUUAAGCUGGAUAUUAUAAAAUGCUCCUAGCUCUCGAGAAAGUCAGGCUGGUGGCUGAGAAGUUCAACAAUAAUAAAAAAAUAAAAGUAAAUAGGGCAUUGUCAAACCAACAUCAACAUCCUAAUAACUCUCCACGCGAUCUCUCAGCCGCCGGCAUAGCCACUGGUUUUAUGGGGCCCUUUUGCAAGUUUUGGUGUUACAUGUAUCGUAACUAUUCCCCUACUUUUGUUUUAUCUAUUUUAGGGUUUCUCCUCCUUGUUUUUGUUUUAUCUAUUUUAGGGUUUCUCCUCCUUGUUUUUGUUUUAUGUUGAAUAGGGUAUUUUAAUGAGAGUUUCUCUCUCUCGUAAUGUAUUAGUGUGAGUUUUCUCUCUCUUAAAAUUUUUUAGUGAUAGUUUUCUUUUCUCUUAGAAUAUUCUGAAGAGAGUUUUUGUUUAGCUUAUUGUUUCUUUAUUGGAUGUAAGAGUUUUUAAAAGUUUUUUUUUUUUUUACUUAAUGAGAAUCUCGUCGUGUUCACAUUCAAUUAGAAGAAAUAGAACCGUGUUUGGAAUUGGAAUACAACGCAUACUUGAGUCAAUAAUAUCAGCGAUUGAUGGAUGACUGCCCAAAGCAAAAUUCCUCUUUCCUACACAUUUAUGUAAUCAAAAUGUCUAACGAUGCCUGCACCCGUCUCCAUGGUUUGAAGUUUGAACUAGGUCCCAACACCAUGUUUGUUUUUUUUUUUAACUAGGUCCCAACUUGAUACUUCUCCAAGUCAAUAAAUUGAUUUAAAUAUAUUAUUGUGAAGCAGUAAAGCGUUUAUCAUUUUAGGCAUCUUGCACCCAAAUUUUCAGAUUAUGAGACAAACAAUGCAGAUCUUUUUGUUCAUGGAUUUGUUCAGAAUUUUCUUUUUCUUUAGAAAGGAGACACUAAGAAUGAUAAAGGAAAAGAGAGGGACCAUAGGACGUGGGAAAGUUUACAAGUCGAGUCAUGCACCUUCGUGUCACUCGAUUAAGGGUCCGUUUGAUAAGAUUGAAAUCUAAAUUUUGAUUAAGGGUCCAUUUAUGGAUUGAUUAAGUUGUAUUUGUUUGAUAACUAACAGAAUUAUAAUGCUGAAUUGAAAUAUCACGAAAAUACUAUAUUUUUAUCCUUAAAAAAUUGCUUUUAUUUUUAUUGUUUAGAGAGAGAGAGAGAGAGAGAUAGAAAAUAAUGCAACAAUUCAAAAGUGGUGUUUAAUUGUGCAUAUUUGUGGGUAGGAGUAUAUAUUUACAUGUGUGUGGGUAAACAUAAAGAGAAUAAAGAUAUGUUUUCAACUGAUUCUAAUUUUAUAAAAGCUGAUUUUGUAAAAUUGAUUCUUCAAAAUCAGAUUUUUCAAAAUAACUUAUGCGUUCUCAUUUAUUAUUAAAAAAGUCAUUUUAAUAAAUGCAUACGUGUUCUAAAAAAGAGUUACAAUGGUGAUGUUGACAAAAAGAUAACUAUGUUACCCUUAUAUGCUAUAUAUAUAUAUAUAUAUAUAUAUAUAUAUAUAUAUAUAUAUAUAUAUGAGUUUUGUGCUAAUUAAAUAAAUUUUUAAUGGAAUUAAUUAUUUUUUCUUAUGAAGAUAACAUGGUGGAUGAGAAAGAUAAGGGACACAUGGAUGAAUUUGGAAGUGAGCUGCGAACGAGAAGACAAUAGAAAUACCAUUAAAUGUUAUCUAAUCUUCAGGUAGUUUAGUAAUUAAUUAUGCUGAAAUUUGAAGGAUAACUUUAUCUACACGAAAAAGUAGACUAGAAUUAGAAUCCAAAAGCAUAUCAAGACUUGCUUCUGAUUUUUUGGCUUUUUUGGACCAGUUUUUCAAAAUCAGUUGAGAACACACACACAAAAAAAAAAAAAAAAAAAGAUUUUCAAAAUUCAAAAGUUAAAAUCAAGUUUCUAAAGUCAGUUGAGAACAAGGCCUAAAUGUAUAUAUACUCUGCACAAAAGUAUAUAUGAGAAUUUGUUAUGCAUGUGAGAGUUAUAAUAUUUGUAGUCAAUUUAGAAAAUUCAGUGAACAGUUUCACUUAAAAGUUCGUAUAUUUCUAUUAUCAAACAUGUUGAAAUCAAAAUGUUGUGAAUGAAUUAAUUUUCAACAUUAAGUAGAGUUAUCAAACAAGCCCUAAGUCUGUUCUAGCUAAACUAGGAAUUGGGAUUGAUAAACUUUUUCUUCUUCUUUUUUUUUUUUUUUCAAAGAAUGUUUCGGAGUCGAAUUUUAAACCUCAUCGUCACCUAAGUUUGGUUUAUACAACCGUAUUGGGAGUCUGUAGCAAACUGCUAAACCAGUUACCAGACGCAUGAAGAGGCCACACAACUAAAGUAUUGGGCCUCCUCGAUAGUGCUGCUGGGAUCCAGAGUCACUCAAAAAGGCUUUCAUUUCCCUCCUCAAUGACAGCAUCCAACAUUCAAGCCUGAUGAGCCUUUCUUAUAUCCUGGCUGUGAAAAUUCACAUAUCGGCCCAAAGCAAGGAAACCUCAAGUCGAAGUCCAAAGAGUCUCCUUAUUAUUAUUAUUUUUUUUUAAUUUACCGAAUUUUUCGAAAAGAUUGAUCUUUCAUACACCAUCAAUUUAAAAAUUAUAGAAAUUAUGUAUUAUGGAUUCAUACCUGCUAAUCAUUUACCUAAAUAUUUACCCUAAUUUUAAUAAAUUACCACCAUCUCCACGAACAGUUCUAUAACGAUGCACAAUUUUGGGAGUAUUUUAGCAAAGAUCUUGAAGCCAAUAAUUGUAUCUUUGUUUUUUUAAAUAUAAUCUAUAAAUCUCGUAUAAUUGCCAAUGAAAAAUAUGGCUAAUGAUUUAUUUAUAUCCAGUCAAUGGAAUUAAGUUUCAUAGAUUCCUCUCUAGUGGGGGCUAGACAUUUUUAUAUAUGGCUAGAAUAGGGAGCUAGUAGUACCCUGUUAUUGUCAUUUUUAUUGGUUAUUGUCAUUUCCUAGUCCUCAUUGCGCUUUAAACAAUUCGUUGUUUUCUCACAGGCCUAACUGACUCUUUUCUUAUAUUCAAUAAUUUAUUGAAAUAUAAGCAAAUGAAAACAUAUGCAAAUUGCUGAAGUAACUUGCCUUUGUUUGGAUUGCCAUUUUUUCUCAUAAAAAUAAUUUUACGUUUUUUGUGAAUAUAUUUUCUAAUUAUUUUUUUCACUCUACAUACAUCAUAUUGAUCGCUUUAGUAUAUCUUUUCUAUAAAAAAAAAAAAAAAAUCCAGAAAAUAGUAAUCCAAAUGGACUCUUAGUUUUACAUGUAUCUUGAUAGUGGAAGGAGAUAAACUACGAACUCAUUGAACUUAAAAGUUAUAGGUUCAUUGCUAUUGACUUCAUAUCAUACAACCACCUUAAUCCAAAACAAGAUUAAAUCUAAACAACAAAAAUUCGGGUACAAAAUAAUAUUGAUGCACUAAUUUGUUAUCCAUACAUGAUGCAUGCUGCUGCAGCAGCCACAAGCCAGUUGAAUAACAUGUGAUAGUGUGAGCACUAACCAGCUUUCUGUCAAGAAGGGGAGUUUCCUAUUGACAAUCAUUUGUGUCAAUAUUAAGAUUAAGAAAUACCCCAUGACAAUCAACUUUGAUUACCAUAUAGCAAAAGGGGUGGAUUAGGUGGUGAACUUUUUGCUUAAUUCCUUCUAUUUUAUGACUGAAAUAAAGAUCAUAUCUAGGCAAUUAAGUCAUUUGAGCAUUACAUCAACAAAGUUUGCUUUGACAAGAAUCACCACCUUGACUUUAAUCAAAUGCGACUUUUUUUUCCACAGCAGCUAGAAAUCUAGCUUACUUAUGAGAACUAACUCAACCAUUUGGUACAGUUUGAUCCUCUAUCCCAUCAAACAAGAAAUCUCAUCUUCUUGUUCUAGAACUUUAAUUACAGAUUUAAUGGUAUAUAUGUUAAUUAAAGGAUGUGUAGUGUGUUAUCUUUGAUAGUCAAUCUCUUGUUAGAAAAGGAACAAAGUCCACCUACUCACUAAGGAAAUAGUUGCACUAUGUUACUUUCAACCUUUCUUUAAUCAGGUGCUAUAUACGAUGGUCUUUGCUCAUUCAACUCUAAAAACAUAUAUAUAUAUAUAUAUAUUAUUUAUAGUAAGUUUGCUACUUUUCCUUGUUAUAUUCAAAUAUACCAUUAGCGUAUUAAUUUUGUUUGACUGAGCCAUAUCCUAACCCGGAAAAUUUUGAUGGACAGCAAAAGUCAUGGCUGAUGAAACUUUCUUGAUUUACUCUUUCCCUUUGUGAGCUCAAUAAGCAAGGAGAAUAGAACGUGUAAUAGUGUAAUCGCAAUUUAAGUAUAUCUUCUACCAGACCAAAAUUGGCUAAAGAGUUGAGUAAAUCUUAUAUACAUUGAUAGUGUAUAUAUUAUCACGAUCGAAUGCAUGACACAUUCGCAAAAUUUAAGUUUCAAAUUUAAUUUGGAUUAUGUAUCAUGCAUCUAAUGGUAAAAGUAUAUACACUGUCAGUGUGUAUAGAAGAUUAAUCUAAAAGAGUUUCCUUUUUCUUUUUUUCCUCACUUCAAUCAAAUAGUGUUAUGAAGUUAUACACGGCAUUUUAUUUUUUGGAUUAAUUAUCUGCCCCUGCCCCUUUAUAAUUCUAGCCUUUUAGUUUUUGAAAACACCAAAAAAAAAACAACUAAUAUGAUCUUUCAAAUGGUUAGCCUCUCCCUCCUCGGCAUUCGUGCUCUCACCAAAUAUAUAGGAUGUGAAUCACUUACACGAUAGCACAAAAUCUAAAACUUCUGUUAAUUAAUCAAUCAUUAAUGUGGACUGAUCAAUGAUAUGAUUUAGCCACUAGGGUACGACAUUUAGGAUAUAGCUUUUUAAUUAGGUAGCACAUGAUUAGCCAGUAUUUUCCUUUACCUUAAUGAUGAUACAAACCUUAGAACUUCCAAGAUCUCUAUUUGUACUUCAGCUUGUACAUUUUGCUUAAAGUUCGAAUUUGGGCUUUUGUUAAAUGACAUUUCUGAAAUCUGAUAAGUGGAUUUGACAUUUUAGUUUACUAGAUCAUAAAAGGGGAUUAGACAAGUCAUUUACCUUAAUAAGAUGCCAACCCUGAAAAUUAGUUUCAAUCAUGAAAGGCUAUUGUAUCACAAUCAUCUAACUAAUCAAGACUUAAUUGCAAGAGUUUGUCAUCGCCAUCCAAGAUUUCAUCUUAAGAAUUGAUCCUUUCAUUCACUUCCUAUUUUCAGUGUGUAAUUAUAUAUUAUUGCAUUUUGGAUUGGAUUGGAUUUGGCUCUUUCUUUAACUGUUGUAAGACCAAGAAUUAUCUCCUGUACUUGAUCUCAAAAAUUCUUAAACAUGUACAGAUUCCACAUGCAUAUCAAGGAUAAUUUUUUUCCCCCAAAAUGUUAAAUCUGCACUGGAAUUGACUACACCCAUAUUUUCUAAAACUACCGUUGAAUGAAAUUGGAUCUUUACUCUUUACACUUCAAACGACAGAUUUUCGAAAAACAUAUAUUCCUUUCCAGCAGAAUGACUUAAUUAAACCAGAAAAGCAUCAAAACAUGUAAUUAAAAUCAACCAACACGAAGUUACAGCGGUCACCGGCCGUUACAGCUCAUCACCUACUCGUUGAUUUUAGAGAUGUCAAUUUUGAAUUCUCUGCUAUUUGGGCUUAAAAGCAAAGUUCAAAUCAAAGUAUAUAUAAGACUCUUGUUUGAAUUGCAGACAGAGUCAUUAUCGUAAAAACAUGCAGAAAAUCCCGGAUGUGCUGGCACAGAAGCUACACAAUUUACCUCGAAACAUAAAACAUUUUGUUCAACGUCAAUAUCUAUAUGAAAUUCAUCACAUCAUCUGAGUUGAGUUAGUAUGAACAUUUUAACGUCUCCAAGAUCGGAUCUCCUACCCUCGACAUCCACGUCAAGUUCUUGCAAUGGAAAUUUUCGUGUCAAAACCUCACAAGUUCGUACAAAACCCAUCUAGAAUACUUCGCAGAAACAUGGAAGGUUAUUGGAAGAGUAGGAUGGAAAAUUCAUGCAUUCUUAUUAGCUCGAUGGCCUUAUCAGAGAGCAGUUCAGCAAUCUUUCCAUUCCUAUCAUUGUUGAGGGACAUCUAUGAAUUCUUAAACCUUGUGUUUCCUAACUACUUGGGUCCCCCUUAUCAUUGAGAAUCCUUAUACGUCACCUUUUUGACAUUAAACUUUUAGUCAACUCUGCCUCUCUCUUUCACAUUUUAAAUCCUCAAGCCCCAAGCUCCUACUAUUUUUUCCACGGUUGCAAUUUUUUGAUGCUAAUAAAAUUGCAUAUAGUAAAUGGGGUGUGUGAAUAUUUGGAGCUUAUUUGCUACUCCAUUAGAGUGGUUGGCUGGUGAAGGUCCAACGAUUCGGUCAACGGCUGGCUCAAUCUCAUAUUCAUUAAAAAUCCAUCAUAAAAUGACAGGAAAAAAAAAACCAAUAAAGCCUCAUGGAUAAUUGCUUUAUUUUAUAUGAUAAUGAUCGUAAAAGUAUUUGAAAGAAAAGAGAAAUAAGAAACCAAUAUUAACAUCAUCGAGGCGUCAAAUUGUCAAGAUUCGUGAUAAAUAUCUUUCACUUUUAUGAAUUAAGUGAAAUUUCUAAGAAAUGAGACAAGAAAUGAAACUUGGACUUAUUGCACAAGGGCUGGCAGUUUCUAGUUUUUCUUUUGCUAUUAUCUUUUCCGCAGCAAAACCUUCAUCUCAACUGAAUUAAUGUCUUGUAGCCAUCAAUUAGAAAGAAUACAACGUAAAAUGGCAAAGAAAACUGCUAAAGAAACCCUAAAAGCUAUCACUACUAUCUCAGUUUGAUCCUAUGCUCGAUGUUUCUAUGAUUAUCUAAGUGUGUUUGGUGAGCAGUUCAUUUCAUGAUUAAUUGGCAAUCAUUCAUGACACAUAUACACAUAUAGACACGAAAAAAGAUUAUGGAAACAAAAGAAAUAUAACAGAACCGAUAGCUCAGUUGGAGAAAAACGAAAAAGCAUCAUCUUCAUAGUUCAUACUAGUUCAUAACAUGCAUUAAUUAAUUACUCAUCUUUCUGUACAAAAGACACACCAUAAUUGAACAGGUUGGGUUUGAGAAUGUCAAAUAUGUAAAAGAUGAAUGGUUUUUGUAGCUGCAAUAUGACUAACUUUAGUAGUAAUGGACAUGUUCUAUGCUACCAAGAAAGUGGAAGAAAUAAAAAAAGGGUGGUGAAACUCCAAACCUCAGACACACAUAUAUGACUAAGCAAUCUCAUGAAACAAAGGGUCGUCAAGCAAGAGUUCAGGCCAAAUAGAAGAUGGACCACCUUCAUAGCUGGAUGUACUACAAGCAUCCCCACCAUUGGUAAUGGAAACCUCGGUCAUCGGUGGAAUAACCGGAGGAGGAGGAGGAGAUGGAGAUAAGCUGGAGUGGGGAAGCCAUGGCGAAGUCGGCGAGUUUUCUCCUUGGCUGCAGAGAAUUGUUAAGUUAGAGGCUUGAACCAUAUGAUCCUUGUUCAUAGAAGUCUGAAAGCUGCAGGGAGAUUCCAAGUCAGGCAAAUGAGAGAAAGGGAUGGACUCAUGGACAGCCUGAAGAGUAUUGGUAGCCAUAAUGGAUGAUGGAAUAGGGGUCUCCAUAGGAUUUGUGCUUAAUACUUGGCUAUCCUUCACUGCUGAGAGCGAGUUUAGUAGGUUGUAAGCCUCCAUAUCUGGGAUAGUUGCGCUCAAACUGUUCGAUAAAGAUGGCAUUGAAGCGGCUGGAGGUUGAAGAAGAUAUUGCAAGUACUGAAGCUUAGCUAUUUGAGCAGCUUCAGUUUGUAAUCUUACAGCUUGUUUCUCCCAUGAAUUUUGUUCCAUAAGCUCUUUAAGAUUAGCCAGAGCUAUAAGAUGGGGCAAGCUGGAGAAGAUAUCGGUCCGAGGACGAUGAGUCAUUGGAUCAAAUCCCAUUUGAAUCAACUUCUUCUUCAGAUGAGUGUUCCAGAAAUUCUUGAUCUCAUUAUCCGUCCUUCCAGGCAGGUGGGUGGCAAUAGUCGACCACCUUGAUAGAAAAGAAAACACAACCAAUGUAAGUAUAUACUGUUGAACCCUCUGAUUAAUUAUCUUCUAUCAAAAUUAGAAUGGUUUUGAGUGAUUUACUUGUUUCCAAGUACAGCAUGGAGAUUAAGAAUUGUUUGCUCUUCUUCUGGAGAAAAUUUUCCUCUCUUAAUAUCAGGUCUCAAAUAGUUAGUCCAACGAAGUCUGCAACUUUUCCCACAUCUGUUAAGACCUGAAAUUGACAAAAAACAUGCCAAUUAAUUUUCAGCACCAAACUAUCAAAUUAUGCAAUGCAUCCAUAUAUAUCACUUACCUGCAAGUUUUGGAAGGGCUCUCCAGCUGCCAUGGCCAUGUUUUUGGAUAUAUUUGGUGAGUUUUUCAUCUUCCUCAGCAGUCCAGGGACCUUUCUUUAGGCCAGUUUCAUCGCAGCAAGGGGACCUUCCCAUGAUCAAGUUCUAGUUCUAAAACGAUAUCUUAAUCUUUAUGUAUGUUGGCCUAUGAUCUGGGCUGUUUCCCUCCAGUCCUACCAAAUAACUCAAAGGUCCAGUUAUAUAUAAACUCUUUUGCCUCUUUGUCCAGAUGCUGUAUGACAGAGAAACAGGACCUACGUGGGGGGUUCUCAUUUGUCUGUGUUGCCGAACCUGCAAUGACAAAUAUAGCCCUCUCUCCGGUUUUUCUUCUUUACAAGCUAUCCUAAUUGGUAAUUAUGGAAAGGACAAGAAAUUGUUAAUACUUGUAUCAAGAAUCAAGAUGUGUUGAUCAUAUGAUUUCUGAAAUACGGUGUAAACCUGCUCCCUAGAAUAAUACUGCUAGAAUUAGGACCUUUCUUUCCUUUACCAGAACUAGGACUUAAUAUGCAGGACCUAUAAUUUUACACAUAAUUGCACACUACAUCCUUCCCAUUUAUUGAUAAGGUGCUUGAACUUUGCACUAAUUUUGAGAAAGUAGGAGUUUUAGUGAAAAUAAGUUGGGCAUAUUGGACUCAUCUGAUAAGAUUUUGCUACUGAUCAUCCCAUGACAAGCACCCUUUUUUUUAAAUAUCAUUACAAUGGCACCCACAAUGACCGGAAAUACAACUAACUAAGGAUGGAUAAAAAUACAAUACUACUAACUAACACUGCAAAUAACCCACAUAAAUGGUGGGAAAAGUAACUCGCAAAAUAGUAGAAUAAAUAGUAAUACCUAUCUAUUGAUAUUCAUUAUAAAUACCUAUCUCUCUUUCGCUCACAUUUUGUUGUGGGAGCCCAUGAUUUGAUUAAGUACAUACAGCAUAAUAUGUACAGAUUAUCCUUGUAUUUCAUGGCAUCUCUUCAAUUGGUGGAAAAAACAAGCACAUUUCGAUCUUCAUAAACAUUAUUGUUUUUCUUUUUUGGUAUACCAAAUUGAGCUAGACCUUCAAAUAUCCUAUCCUUCUGUUCCACAAGACAACCGUACGAUAAUUCCAUUGAAAAUUGAUCUGCAUUUGUUAAUAGUUAUAAAGAAGAGCUUGUUUUUGAGUUUGUAAGAACGAGUAUUAUUUUCCCAUAUCAAUACUACAUUUACCAUUAAUUUUGCCGAAGAGAAACUCCCAUGAAACCAUUCUUCAAACUUUUGUUUGCAGUCCCAUGACUCAAGGACUUUCAAACUUGCAUUGUAGACCUUAGAAGUUAAUCACUUACUAAAGAAUGAGCAAAUUGCUACGUAAUUUAUUCCCGGACCUUAUGCAUCAUCUUUCAUACACAUCUCUCACUUAGGAAUAGUCCUUCUACACCUAAUUGACAAAUAUGUCAAAUGAUGCAUCUCAUUUGCUUUCUUAUUUCCUUUUAACUUUGACAUUGGUCUUAGUAUUAUGCUUUCGUAGUAAAUUUUGAUUUCGCCCACAUAAAGGCAUUCAACUCAGAGAUAAACAAGGCUUAGUUUCCUAGCUAAUUUCAUUCGAGCAUAAACUUUAAUUAAUAAAAAUUCUGUUAUAGUUCAUUCACAAAUUAUUUGAGAUGGAUUAGUAAACAGAACAUUAAUUAAACCCAUUUAACUAUUUAAGACUUCAAAAUUCACUAAUUAUACCCACCCAAUAAAACUUAAUAAGUAGUAAGCAAUUCACUUGAGCAGAGUUCUCAAACGUACAAGUCUUGCUGUGUAUUUUUCUAAUUUCGUAUUUCAUGAGAGCAUAUAAUUGCAAAAAUACACCGAGUAAGGGCAUUUCAUGGACUGCAAAUUUAAUCUCUUCAUUUUUCCAACUAGUCCAAAAAGGAUAUACAGCUGCUAAUCCUUUGUUAAUCACCAUUAACAACCAAAUGACCAUGGGCCCACGUCCUUGCAUAAGACAGGGGCAAUCCUGGAAUUUCACGUUGAAAGCCUUUGUCCAUUAUAUCGGAACAAAUUAAAAUGCAUUGUUAAUAAAUAAAUUAAACAAAUAAAUCCCAGAAGAGGAAAGUCAUCUGUCGUGGACAGGUGGCGGCUGCUUGCUGGUCAGAGGAACACAUCCCAUGCACGCAACAGAAGCAAUCUGUCGUCAUUUGAUUGCAAUUUGCAUGGACAUUUUUUUAUAUUUACGUAAAAGUUAUACGUACCAUUCAUGCUAUAACAUUAUGGGGUCCCCGACUGCCUCCCUGGCCACCUUCAGCUGGGAAUAUGCUGGACUCGGGGCACGGACGGUUGCAGGUGCAACUGUCCCUGCCAAUUUUAGUCAUUAUUAACUGCGCGUAACUUUCUUUGUAUAUCGUGUAAUUUUUUUUUCACAGGAUGUAUUUUCACAACAGAUAGUGGUGGGCCCCACACUUGGCGCGGAAAUCGAGUUACAUGGUGUAAUUUCAGCCGCACAAAAUUUUGAAGGCCAAUCUUGACACUUAACCGUGCAGGGACGGUCCCAAAUCCGAAUAUGCUAAGCCCUCUGCUUGGUAUCAGAAAAUAAAAUAACACAAAAAAUCAUAAAAACCCCAUUUUUCUAGCUAAUUUUUGUUCCUUUUUAGCCUGUUAUUUUUUUUCCCAUUCAAUCCUGUUAGUAGUACGGGAGAUUCAUGAAAGGUAUAUGACGAUUUAAUAGAUGUUGGAAGAUAUGUAUUUAUGUAAUUAACAUUUAGUUUUUUUUGCUUACUUCCAACAAUUAAAUUCAGAAUUUAAACCCUGAACUUCACAAUAUAGAAAAUUCAAAGAGAUUUCCCUUGGCCAACUCCAGUGAUUACAUGAAUUAAUUCUCGACUCUAGGAUUAAGUUAAUCAAAUGGAGUUUUAAUCAUCCAGUAACCUUCCAAGCAUAUGGUGCUGUAUUGCUCAAUUAGUUUAGUGGUGAAUCAAGCUUUCGAUUUUGUUAGUUCUUCGAUCCUGCUAGUCAUGCAUUUAUAGCUAGCCUGGUUUUCUUUUCUUUGUUUCUUUAUUUGGAAGGAAUUUAGCUUAAUUGAAAAUUAAAAUAUAAAGGAGAACUGAUUGAUACUUCUAAUACGCCCCUUUUUCACAUUUUUUUAAUGGAAAAAAAAUGAAUGUGGUUUUUUUUUUUUUUUUUUGAGAAUAAUCCAACAAAGACCAGCUAAGACGAAGCAAGCUGUAAAACUUGGAAGUUUUUGUCGCCAACAAUUUCCUACCAGAAAGUGGAAAAUGCCCCAAUAUCGUCUUCUUUUAAGUAAUGAACUUUCUAUGCCAUGAUCUUUUUUUUUUUUUUUUUUUUUGGAAAAAUAACAAGUACUCUCUCAAACAGUUACAGGAAGACCUGAAGAAGUGAAAGUCUUAUGAACAACAAAAAGUGGGCAAGUGAAGAAUUUUAAACCUUGUGAGCAACCGUCAAGGGUUUGACUUAUGCCUUCUAUACUCACAGAAACCUAACCGGGGUUCCUUUUUUUUCAAUUUUACCUGUUCCAUUCAAGGCUCCUUUUUUAUAUGGCCACGAAGAUCUGUUCAAUUAGGCAAUUUGAUAAUUAAAAAUUCAAAAAUACUUAGUCUGAUAAUGUAUACCUUGCAUUUCUCUUGUUCAUAAAACGCAAGUUAUCCGCCUAGAUUGCAUAGCUAGUUGAAAGUUGUUUUGCACUACAACCCCUUUAUAUUUGAAAUGAAAUUCUGAUUUCUCCUAAUCAAUUGCAUAAUUAUUCUUUUCUUACAUGAUCAAGACCGUGUAGACAUUUUUGUAUUUUAAGGCUUGAUGAAGCAGCAUAAUCCACAUGUGCAAUGUCACUGGUCCUCAUCAAUCAUCAACUUGUGAUUGAUUUUUUUUUUUUUAAUCAGCUAAUACCAUCUCGUAAACUUUUGAUACUAACAUAGCCAUUUUUUGUCAAUUCUUUUGAUUAGAAUUACAAAAACUCUAUCAAGUUUGCGGUGCCCUGCCAAAGUUGCUCAUUAUCAAUUUGGAUAAAUUUUAUAUACACUGACAGUAUGUACACUAUUACCGUUAGAUUCAUGAUACGGGUAAAAGUUGAAUUUCAAAUUCAAAUUUUGCAUAGUUAUCAUUCAGUCAAGAGUGUAGAAAAGAUUAAUCCUAUCAACUUUCAUGCUCUUAUAUGAAAUCAAAAGGAAGGUAAGCAACCUUGUUCUUUACAAGAUGCUAAUUGCAACGUAUCAUAAUCUCAAUUAGCAGAUGCUGUAUUUCACUUUUUCUAAUUGAUAAUCUCAGUUAUAAUUUCUGAUAAUAUACCUCCGCUCCUUUUGCAUCUCAGUUUGACCAAAUUCUUGAUAGAACAUUGGACUCUGAACACAAAAACUGCUACACGUUUCUAGUGCAGACCAAAUCUUUGGCGAAAAAAUUAGCGUUCUGUUAAGAAUUGGCUUUUAUUCUUUUUUUUUAAAUACUAAUCAAGUAGAAGAAUUCAACUCGGAUUUGAAAGAUUGUACCAUGAAUUUAACACCAUAUCAGGACAGAUAAAAUCAUCAAAAGUUGAAGUUUGGAGUAGAAUGCUUUGCAAGCACUAAUCUUGGAGACGUAAAGUGAUGUUUGUGCUAAAUUAAUUGGAUUAGUACUUAUGAUGUCUGUAUACAUAGUUUGCAUGAAAAUUUUAUUCCGCACGUCCUCGUGAUUACAAUUUCCGUUCAAUUAACAGAAUCACAUGCAGGUUUAGACAUUUUACAUCACUUUUCUUCUUUGUGAUAAUUAGUUAAUUUCCUCCUUUUGUGCGUUCAAUGAGAAGGAGAUUAGCAUUAUAUGAUGAUAGUAGACUCCAAAUUAUAUGCAACAAUUUGGUUCAAUGGACUGCUUUUAAUUCGCGGAAUUUAGGAAGAAUGAAUGGUCUAAAUUGAUGAGGCGACCUGUUAUGGACCAAAUGCAUCCAGAUUAUGACCAAGAAAUAACACUGGAAUGAUUUAACACUUGGUAUUGAAUUUUUUUUGUGGUGGGGGGAAUUGCAGCCAUCAACACUUCUCGCUUUUUUUUUUUUUAAAAGAAAAAAUUUCCCUAAGAACAUCUUCCAAACAACAAAGUAUCUGUCCACAUGUUUUUUCAACUCCUUUUUUUCUUCUCUUUUUUGUCAAAUCUCACCUGCCAGAUAAAUUAUUCUGGUCCAAAAUCAUAUUUCUACGGCACUAAAUUAUGCACAUGUAUUAAGCUCUAACAGUAUAAUUGUUUUGUGCCAAUUGGGUCUAAAAAGAUAUACUUUGGUGGCUUCAAAAAUGUCAAUCACUAGUCGGUUUAAUAUGACUAUAGGACCCUAAUCCUUCCUUCCACCAUCAUGCAUGUCUGUCAUUUGCUCUUUCACUCACUCUAUCAAUGUCUAAGAUGUUGAAGCACUUGAAUUUUUUUCUACAAAUUGUAUGUUUCCUAAACAAAUCGAUCGUGCGGGACACGUAAAGCUUGAAACCGAAGUAGCUGCUCAGCUAAACCUGGCUAUUACAAUCUCUCUACAAUAAGAUAAAGCUACAAACAGAAUAAACUAGUAAUUUCCCUGGUUACAAAUUCAGCCGUCCAAUAUACAAUUCUUGAACCAGUACCAAUUUUCUGGUAAUGCAAGUCAUCCAUGAAUUUGUAUAUAUCUCUUUUCAUCUCUCUGAUAUCAUCGAAAAACUUUGCUUCACCUCAGAAAUUUCACCGAGUUAGAAAUAUACGAAGCGAUGUGACACUGUUUGACUAUUAGGGAAGGAGCUGGUUAGAGGGAGAAGAAGUUGGUGCAGCAAACUCAUUGAUUUCUUUAUCACACCUUUGAAACAGAAAUAAAAUUUUCUUCUUCAUCUAUUUCUGUCUUUCUCCUUUAGUUAAUGAGCCGUCAAUGGCUGUCGUUCAUGUCUUUUGUCUUCUCACUCUUUGUCCUUUAUAUGGGGAAGAAGGAACAGACACCUUUUUCAUUAUUCUGCUAAACGACUGAAUAGAUAUUUUGUGGGUGGGAACAAAUUCCCCUGAUAAUCAAAAUGUGAUAGGAUAAUUAUUCAUAUUCACUGUGCUCUUCUCAUCCAAAAAAACAUAGACAUUGAUCAAAUAAAUCCAUCAAUACGAUAGUGUAAUUUCUUUUUCUUAUUGAUAACCAACAGAAAUGUCAUUAAGUUUAUUUAUUGAGUAUCAGCAAUCGAUCAUCAUUACAAGUUCUUAUGGAUCAUAAAUCCACAAUCUUCCACAUACGAUAUAAAUUUGGUGCAUCAUAUAAUAUAGACAUCAAUCAAUUACAUUCAUGAAUGUGCUAUUAAAUACACGUCGUUAACUAGUACUAGUUCAAAGAUAAAUUCAUCUGUGCUCUAUAUUAUAAGCAGAUAUCUAUAUGCAUCUCCAACAGUAGCUACACAUGACAUUUCUUGUUUAUUUAAAUGUUUACAUUUCUCAUUUAGAGGUGCAUCUGUCCAACUAUCUCAGUUGAGUUUACAUGAAUAUUGACUCAAGAUACACAAAAAAUGUCAAGUUCGUAUAAGCCCACCUCCAUUUGUUGUAAAAAAAAAAAUGAACAAAAAGAAAGAGACACACAUGAAAUGCUUCAAAGCAUAUACUAUAUGGAUGAAGACAUGGUACCAUGCAAAUCAUGGAGGGUUUAUGAUCAUUGAUGUUGAUGUUGUAUUCCAGAUCGAAAUCGGCAGGGGCCUUCUAUCGAAAACGAAAGCUACAAAUCUAAACUCAAUGCUCAAGUAUCACAUCAAUGGCCACCAAUUGUCAAACCAAGGAUGACCCAAUAUUUUUCUUGGCAAUUUACCUUUCCCCACCAAUCCUUCCUUCCUCCCCAAUGCAACUUCCUUUAUUGCCUCAUAUAUGUUGUCGGCAUACAAUGUUCUUUUCUUCUCAUAAAGUAAAAUUAAACUUUUUCUUUUCAUGCCUUUACAAAUAUGCUUGGUAACACCACCUUCACGAGAGUUAGUUAAGGAUCUUGAAUUAGAAAUUGAUUAAUGCAGAUUUUCAUUAGAAAGAAAGAGAGAGAUUGCUUGCUCAACUCAGGUUCCUUGUCGGAUGGACCGUCAUCCUUUCACUGAUCAAAAAAAGGAACAGGUUUAGUUUAAAAGGUGAGAGUGAUGUCACCCAGACUAGACAAAGUUUCUUUGUUAAAGAUAUAAUCAUUGUUUUUUGUAUCCGCUAAACAACUGAUUUGCUUGUUCCUUUGGUUUUCUACUUUUCUCCACCCAAUUAUACAUCUAAACUAAGACUUUGUAGACAUCAAAGAUUGGCGACUUCUUUAAGGGUUUCUUCGUUGCCAUGCAAAAAAUAUACAUAUAUAUAUAUAUAUAUAUAUAUAUAUAUAUAUUGGACGUCCUCUACAUAUACACAAAAAACAUAUAAUAAGGUAUGCACAAAGAUACAUACACAUACACGUAUGUGGUACACUGACAAAGAAAGAACAUACGUCAGUACUUUCUAGGCUUUAUCUCUCUUCCAACUCCUCAGCCGUUGGUUAUUAUAAUUUUCAAUAACAUCUAGCACUUUCAGCACCUGAACCAGUUACUUUCGUGAAAGAACCAUGCAAAGAAACAUUCAACCUAAUGCUAAGAAUAAGAUGUACGUAUCCUUGGCAAAAAAUAAAAAGAAACUUCAGAAAAGAUGCACCUUUUUUUCAUUUAUUCUUCUUUUCUAAAUUUUAUGAGAAAAAUGGGAUGUACCGACUUCUAGAUCACGAUCAAGAAAGUUAUUUGUUUAAAAGUCCAAUACCUCCAGUUCGUAUACUUUGAGCCCUUUGAGGUAAUGGUAACGUACAAUAUUGUUACAAGGACCUUCCAAUUCAAUGUCAAUUUUUAUGUCAUGAGAAUCGAUCCCGACAAAGGUCUGAUGGGGUUAUUGAAACAGGUCUGAUGCAUUCCUUCAAGAAACCUGGUUGUUAAACGGACUUUGUUGACCUAUUUUUCCUGUUUGACAGAAAACUCUCCCUUUUUCUUGAUGUGCUGAUGCAAUAUACUUUCAGGGAUAACUGCCUUAAGGGUUAGGGUAUCUAUAAACAAUGAUGACUUGGGGAGUUGGGAUAAUGUUAUGGCUUGGGGUAGCUAGUGGUCCUGAAUAUCUUCCUUCAUAUUCUAUUGCCUUCUCUUGUGGGAACCUGGAGACUAUCAAUAAUAUACAACUCAACUGUAAUGGUCUAGAAAACAAAAACAAGAAGACAAACAACACUUCAUCUCUUUCCAUUAUUUGAAAGCUUCGUCAAAUGACGCUGAAAUCAACUUACAGAUAUAUUGAUUAGUGAGGUUUGUAGCUUCCUUCUCUUAAAUACAUGAUAAUGACGGUUACCCUCUAAGCAUUGUUAUCAACUCCUGAGAAAGAUUAACAAUGGCUAGUGGCAUCCCUAAACAAAUAUUAGAGCAAUUCAUAGCAGUUAACACACCAUAUAACAGAUAAUUCGAUGCUACUACAACAUUAUAAGGAUUAUACGUGCUAUUACGUCCUCUACACGUGAAACGUAUUUACAAAGAUGCAACCUUUACCAACUUCAACUUUGUUUAACAAUCUUGAUCCCAGCAACCCUCAUACAAUGACAUAAAUUAGUGUGUAGGGCCAAGAAAAUCCGUGCUAAUUUCAUCAUAUCUUUACCGUUUCAACGAGAAUUACGUGUAAAAAGGCUCCCUUUCUACUACAAGACUUAGAACUGGAUGCUCAUUGGUCUUCACCUAAGUGCCACCAUCGAUCAUCGUUAUUUCUUUUCCUAAAGAGUGAAGUGGACAACCUUAAAAAGUUUUAACGACAUUUUUACCUUUGAUUACCAUUUUUACCAUCCUUAAAAAGCUUAAUCUAGAAGGUGAACUCAGCUUGUUCAAGACUACUACUUUUUGUUAUCACCGCCAAUUUAUUUUUUUCUCAACAGUUAUGUCCAUCAUUAUGGGAAAAGGAAUUUUUUAAUGACUUGAGACUUGAGAGAGUGUCAUUGCAUAUUAAAUAUCAGGUAUAAGAUGAAUCUGUAUUGUCGAACAUAAACAAAGAUGUAAUUAUUGGACAUUUGUACUCUACUAAAUCAAUAUUUUAGCUACCAACUACUACGUCGUCUUGGCUUCACUUCCAUAGGCAAUGACAUCAGAUAUAACAGCUAAGGAAGUUGGAAGAUGAGUAUGAGCUUGACUGUCAAAUCACCAAUAUUGAUGUUUUAUUAGUUGUAUUCAUCAAACUAAUUAAUGAAAAUGUUAGUAUAUAUGAUCAGAACAAAUAUCUAGUGACUGCUUCAAAUCGAUUCUAAUUAUCAGUUGUAUUAGGAGUACUUCUCAAAAGAUUGCUAUUAAACUUUGGGACGACAAAAAACUCGAAGUUAUCUACAUGAAAUCUAGUUUUAACAAAGGAUAAGUUUAGUCAAGAAUAAGCAAACAACAAACAUCGAUAAGGAUGCAUAAGAAAAACUCAACCCUAGGGAUAAAUACCCUAUUAGUUUUCAGUUGUGGGCUUCACGUUCUCAUCACUUGUACCCUGCCAAAACUUGGCUUUCAACAAAACAACUAGCUUUAAAUCUUUAAUGAUGUUAUUGAACUCGUCAAAAAUCCUAGCAGGUUGAUCUUUUCUGGGAUUGUAAAGUCAAGUUUGGGAAUAUACUAGCAUUAGAAUUUCACGAUUGGCCGAUAUAGACAAUACCCUUGGCAAAUACUGACAUGAAGGUUCAUGUUCAGCGGUAAUCACUUUAGUCCAAGAUUCUCCAUAUUCCUUCAUAACCCAAAGAUCACCAGCUUGUGGAGAAUCAGCAGAGGGAAAUUUAUAAAGCGAAAGGUUCUCUUGAAUUCAUCCUAACGUUGCAACUUAAUUGGCUACAAUCUUGUUGUGAUUCGGUUCUGCUAACUCUCGGUACAUCUCUGUCGCUAAAUCAACAGAAAAAAUAAAUCUACCAUGGAUUUUAUUGCUGGCCAAAAAAUGGAGUUUCCCCAUUACCACGACAGCAGAGUAACAUCCCCAUGAAGGAGCACUAGGAAAAUCCGCAAUCCUCCUCCAAGAUUCAAUUUGCGUGCUGUAAAUACUAGCCUCAUACCUGCCGUGUUUGCAAGUAUGUAUUGCCACUACUUUAUAAUCGUCACUAUAAUCAUCAUAACCAAAACCGUUGGAACAUGCUAGUCAUGGAAUGUCCAAAUCAGGUAACCCCUUGUAUUUUCUUAUUGAUGGAUUCCACAACAAGAAAUACUGUUGAUCAGCUUGCUUAAUUAACAAACAAAUCAAUCCAUCAUAAUUGCCAACAAUUGAUGCAAAGUAGUACAAAAUUGGGAGAUUGAGGCUAAUUACAUAAUAAUUAGCAUAUUUAUUAGAUUCAUGAGUAAAGGGUCAUGUGCUACAUUGGUCCAUGAGAUAGAGAAAGAGCAGUAAAUAUGUAAGUAAGGGCCCAAAACCUAAUGGCUUAAGUUUUUGGGUCAAAAUUGGAUUCCUGACUUACAUAUUGGACUCUUUGGUAGACUCUCUUGAGGUAUUUCUCCCUAUCAAAUAGAUAUCAGAACUUCAGGUUGCGAGACUGGGUUACUCAUGGACAAGUGGAUUCUUUUCAGUAUUGGACCAGUGAAAAAUUCUCUUCUUGGUGGUAAACCAAAAUGCCAAGGAAUUUAGUUGGUGUUGGACCAGGUGCGUCAUGGGUUUGGCAAGGAUCCGAUGAGGUGAUCUUAGAUGAUAAGGUGGGCUUGCGUUGAGUAUGAAAGUGGGUUCAAAGAAGGAUUUGUAAAUUUGGGUUUAAUGUAGGGGUUACUCAUGAAAGGGGAGAUUUGUUAGAUUCAUGAGUAAAUGGUCAUGUCCCACAUUGGUUCGAGAGAUGGGAAAAGAACAGUUAAUAUGUAAAUAAGAGUCCAACAUAUUAGGCUCAGGUAUUUCUCCCUAUCAAUAUUGUCCAUCCAUUAAAUAGUUAAGAGAACAAUGUUUGAAGCUGCAAUUGUCACCCACCAUGGGAAGGCAUUGGUUGUCUAGGGAAUUAUGGAAUUUGAGAUGUGCUUUGAUGAAUUGAGGGCUUGACAUUUAUGAAAGCCAUAACUUGGAAACACGCUUGAAUUUCAACAGCGAGUUGACUAGAGGCAUAAACAAAAUUUCAGUUAUAAGAUGGAGGGGAUGAAAGUAGCCAUACUUGAUUCUUGGCUUGGACCUUGGAUUGAAACUAUUACCUCCAAUAUACACUAUUGGAUGAUUUUGUAGAUGUCUUCGUGAAAAUGUUCAUAUCCAUGCAGGAUUGGCUUAUAGGGUUUAUAGUAGGGGGAGAAUUUAUCAACAAGCUGCCAAAAUGAGUGAUUUGAGGUGAGUUGAGUAAGCCAUAAUUAGAUGGUGGAUGUAAUUGGGUCAACGCAUGAAUUAGAAUGGAUAGUCCUAGUCACAAAAGACUUCGCGUCUUGAAUAGGCGUAAAGCAUUCAAUUACCCCUUUAUCACCCAUUUAAAUUUUACUUUUUUUUCCCUCACCGCUUGUUUAGCAAUGUACCAGUAUAAUCAGAAUACUAAAAUGAUACCCAAGUUAUAAAAUACUAAAUUUUUUUAUCCAAACAAAAAAGGAACAAGGAAAAUGAAAAACAAACAAAAUUUGCACAAAUAACAUAAAAAAAGGUAACCAUGACUAGUUAUUUACUCUUGCAAGAAUUUUGGCAGUGGCUUGGAUAUUAACACGACAAGUCAAUCAACACAGAAAAUUAAAGAGUUAGCUAAACUUUUGGAAAAGAGAGUAGAAGAAGAAGAAAAAAUACGCAAAAAAAUUUAAAAACAACGAAAAGAAGAAAUAUGUUGUUGGUGGAUAUAUGAUCCAAAUGCACCUAGAUUUGAAUCUGCAACUAAUUUUACUUAGGCCUAAAUGGGUGAUUCAAAUUCUCCCAAUUAACAUCCACUAAUUGUUUUGAUGGAAAUAAAAAAAAACCAUUUUAUUAAUACAUAUUUGGAAAGUCAGCCAGUAAAGUGGGCUGAAGAAAAUCAGGUGAAGCACACCAUUACCCCUUGACAACUAACAUUUCUUGCAUAUCUAGCAAGAGUGUGAGCAGCAAUAUUAGCCAUCCUGUGCACCUAAAUUAAAUGGAUUUAAUUGUGUCACCCGUUUAGACCCAAUUAAAGUAUUUAUUUACGUGCCCAAAUUCAUUUAUUAAUAGGUCACUUUGUUGGAGUUUGACACCUAUCUGUUUCAAGAUUUGUGAUAAGUUUAGGAAACUAUUUGUAUUCUAUUCUCACUUACUGUAUCUCAAAUAUGAAUGUUAAAAACACUGGUGGCAUAUUCAAUUUUGCAAUUGGAAAGGAAAAAAAAAAAAAAAGUCACUACAACUUUUCCCAAGUUCAAUUCUUACUGAUUGACUUUAUGUAACAAAUAUGCAAAAACAAGGACAUGAUUAGAGGUGUUUCAAUAGUUUAUUCAUUUAUUGCCCUUUGCUCUGAAUCUUUUUUCCGAUUCAAUCUCACUUUUCAAGAGAGCAAAAACUAACAUUCAAAACCCCAAUUAAUGAUAUUAGUGGUCAAAUUCCCAUUCCCUUUCUGCUUUUUAAAUUUUACCACUUCCUAUUGAAAAUUAAUUUUAAAAAAAUUCCCAAUUAAUGAAGUAAUUGUAACCGGAAAUUUUAUUAGACAACUCUUACAAACAAUUUUUGACCCAUACUUCAUUGCUGCGUGGUUGUCCCCAAAAAAUAUAUAUAUAUAUAUAUUGUUUUGUGGUUUGGCCAAAACAGAGCUGAUCAAUGGAGCCAGACAUUUCUGGGAAGCCAACAUAUCACGAGUGGGUCUUUCAAUACUGGACUCAUUUUGGACUUGUACAGCUCUAGGAUCUCGGCCAGGCUCAAUAUCAUCUCUCGAAUUGCACAAAACAACAGACUUUUUCAUGCAAGGCCACAAGACCGAACUUCCCGAUGAAGGGUGGAUCAUCAAGUUAUUAAUUUCUAAAUAUUGCGUGGCCAUGGACUCAUGGGUUGUCAUGUGCAUGCAUACAAUGUAGGGGUCUUCACAUUUCGGGAAAAAAAAAAAACCCGGAUAAUCGGUCAAUCUAAUUUAGAUCGAAAAUUAGAUCUUGAUCCAAUCUUAAAAUUUGGGAAUGGAUACUGAAAUUUGAUUUUUGAAUUUUUUAUUACCAACUGAAUUAUCGAAUUUCAUGAUUUAAUUAAAUAGUUGAUAUAUUUCAUGCCUACUAAUACAUCAUAUUACGUAUUAAUGUAUUAGUCAAUAGUGUUAUAAGUUAUAAUUUAUGCUUAUACACAAAUAUGUGACUUUAAAAGCAUAUUAAUUAAUGUAUUAAUAACUCUUAUAUUAUUAAUUACAUAUUAAAUAUAAUUAACUAAUCUAUGUUAGAAAACGAAAGUAUAUUUUACCAAAAUACUAAUUAUUCAAUCGAAAUCCAAUUACCAAAUAAAAAUUUGGACGGUAACUAGAUGUUGAACGAACUUGUUGAAAAACAUAAAAAUAAAAAAAACCAACAUUUUUUUAUCGAAUUAUCAGUUACCGGCUGAUGAACGCCCCUAAUACAAUGGCACUAUUGUCACAAUAUGCUUUGACCAGAAAAGGUAUUGUCACAAUAUGUGGACAAAAAAAGGGUUUAUACCAAAGAGUGGAUUAUUUUAUCUAGCUAGUAAUAACAGGGAUGAACUUCUUUUUUUAAGUUUUAAGGAUGGUUAUUUAUUGAUUAAUAAAUCAUUCGUAGUCAUGGCACGUCAAAUGUAAUAUGGGAGCUGGUAACGGUAAAAAUGGGGAAAAAAAAUCAAUAGACCAAAGAUAGGGUACUUUGAUCUUACUUUUUGGGGAUGACCAUUUCAAUCUGCACAGAUUUUUUUCUCUUUCCUUUUUUCCCUGGCUCUUUCUAACUCGAUCACUGAUCAAACUUCUCCUUUCUGCAUACAAUUAUGCACUAAUGUUAAAAGCUUAACCAAAAGCAGGUGAAAUCUUGUUCAAGACUACUCUUUUGUGUUAUCACCACCAAUCUAUUUUUUCUCUAUAGUUAUGUCCAUCAUUUGGGGAAAAGGAUAAUUUCAAUGACCUGAGAAAGCAGCACUGUAUAUUAAAUAUCAGGUAAAUUGAUGAAUGUAUAUGCUUGAACAUAAACAAAGAAGCAAAAAUUGAACAUUUGUCCUCUACCAAAUCAAUAUUUUCGCCACCAAUUACUACGUACGUCAUCUUGGCUUCACUUCCAUAGGCAAUCACAUCAGAAAUAGCAGCUAAAGAAACUGAUAGAUGAUGGUGAGCUUGACAGUCAAAAAACCAACAUUGAUGUUUUAUUAGUUGAACUCCUCAAACUAAUGAACAACUUAGUGUAUCUAAUCAGGACAGACAAAGUAUUACUUCUCAAAAGAUCGCUGUUAAACUCAAGAUAGAGAGGCAAUAAACGUUGGGAAAGUUCAUUGAAGAAUAAGCCAAAAACAAACGUAAAUAAGGACACACAAGAAAAACUCAACUAUGGAAUCCCUGGUUAUAAACAACAGGUUGUUCAGUCAUCUGUUUUGGGCUUCAGGUCGUCAUUGUAUUUCGCGUCAUUUGAACUCGGCAAGGCUAACAAAACAACCAGCAUCACACGGAUGCUAUUGAUGUUGGAGUCCACAAAAGUGGAAAUGAGUUGAUCUAUUCUUAUAUUGUAAAGUUUAAUUCCUCUAGGCCCUAGUAAUAGAAGUGCACUAUUAGCUGUUAUACAUGAUAUCCUUGGCACUUGCACAGUUGAAGGUUCAAGCAGAACAGUAAUCAAUGUAGUUCAAGAUUCUCUCACUAUUCCUUCAUAAUCGAUACAGCAGCCCCUAAAUAAUCAUUGUUCGAAAGAAUGUUUUGAAACAAAAGAUUGCCUCCAAUUUCUCCUAAAGUUUCCUGCAAAUCGUUGUCGAUAUUAUUCGGUGCUUCCAACUCUCCAUACAUCUCGUGUUCAACAGCCUACAACACUCUAAUAAAACGAUACAAGUUUCUAUCAUUGGUAAAUGUAGAGGCCUCUAGCUAGCCCCCUUUGUUCCUCUGGUGGCAUUGGGAUAUCAAGGUCAAUCACAUGAGGGUCAUCCUGUCCUUCCGCUAAGGAGUUGAGAGAGCAAUGUUUUGAGAGUUUCAUAGUCAUCUAACAUGAGGAGGCGUUGGUUUUUUAGCCAAGCAUGAUUUUCCAAAUGUGAUUUGAUGAAUUGACGACUCGAGAUUACUGAAAGCCAUGAUUUCAAAGUACACUUGAAUUUCAACAAUGAUUUCACUGGAAGCUUUAACAAAAUCUCAGUUAUGAGAUGGAGGGGAAUGUAUUUAUUCAUAAAUGAUAUUUGGUUUGGACCUCAGAUUGAAACUAUGGCUUCCAAUGCUCUAUUCUGAUGAUUUUGUAGGCGGGACUCGAUUUUUAGGGUUUGUAAUCAAAGGCAUUGUUAUGGCACAUGGGUAAACAACAAGAAGUAGGGUUUUUAUAAGUUAUACACUCACUUCUUACAGCUUUGUUUUAGGCUUUACCAACUCUCUGAUUUGGGUCUGGUUCAAUGUAAUCUAAUUGAGUCUACAAAACAACUUGCCCGGCUAUAAGGCCGAAUUUCUCUUUUAAGUAAUGAGUUGGGUAAAAAUUCGAAAUCAACAGGCCCUUGAUCAUAUCAUUAGUCUGAGUGUACAAUGGAUUGAUUAUCUAUUAGGGUUUAAUAUUUAUAAGGGAUGACUAAUGAAUAACUCAAUAGAAUUUGAUAAGAAACCCCUAAAAAUCCCUGAUACCUAAGGCCAUUUUAUCUUUUGAAGGGAUUAAUAUUUUAUCAUUUUGUUUUUAAUUUUAUUUUGACUAUUUGGACACGAUCUUUGAAGUGCUUUUUUUCUAAGUUGUAUGCAAUUUAUAAAACUGUUAAACCACGGUUUUAGCCAAUGUUUAUAUUCUAACAGAAUAGUUUAACAAGAUUUGGUUUCCAUACUUUUUGAACUAUUUAAAAGCAUAUAUUUUGGUUCUUUGAUCGAUACGACAAGUCUAAGUAGCAGGUAGAGAGUAGCAUAUGAUUAGUCCAACUCGAGAGAGUAUAUAUGCAGGUUUGGUAAUGAACAAUAAUUAAACCUAUACAGUUACUCCAUAAAGUUUAAUAAAAUUAAAAACUUAUUUAAACGGAUAAGGAUUUGGUAAGAGGGUUUUAAUUUAUAGGGUACCCUACUCAUUACCAUCACUACUUUUUAAGAAAAGUUGUCAAGUUAUUAAUUAAUAAAAUAAUAGGUGGUCAUGGUACAUCAUGAGACAUGAAUAUAUGUAAUAUGGUAUUAGGGGUACUGUUAGAAAAUGUACAAAAAAACGAAGAAAAGAAAAAAAUACUAGAUCCUACUUCGUACGAUCUUUGCACGGGUUUCUCACAUGUUUUGCUGAUUUGAUCACCCAUGUAACACCUAUUCACAAUUGUAAGUCCUUAGUGUCGAAUGACACAAUUAUAAAGCUCCGUAUGAGCCGUUGCUCAAGUUGUAUAGCUUGCUUUAAUUUCAAUACAAGUUCUAACGUUUCGGUAAAAAAAAAAAAAAAAAAAAAAACCUAUUCACACUUAAAUUGUUAUAAAAGUUUGGGAUAUUGAUAGGUCUUACUAGUUAACAUAAAUGUUUAUAAAUCUAGACCAGGAAGUGAACUGACCUUUCAUUUCGAUAAUACAAUCUCAAUUCUGAGGUUUGAUAAUUUUUUAUUCAUUUAGUAUUAAAAAAUUUGAAUAAAGAUGAAAUACUUGUUUUAAAAAGUAAAAACCUUAGUGAACUCUAGUUGAACUUUCAGGUUUUACCGAUCCAACAGAUUUUACACCAAGUUUGAUAGGUUCAGAAUUAAAUAUUGAAACAAAUCAGAGGCAUGAAGUCGUUCGCGUUUCAACCAGUUGAACCAAUUGAUCUGGUCUGAUUUUCAAAACACUGGUUAAUAUGCUUUGUAGAGAUAAUUUUGGAAUCGAGUAUGUGAAUAAUACUAAGACCCUAAUCUUAGACAGUGCCCCGAUGAUUGAAAAACUCUCCCUUCUAUAGGCACAUUUAAUUUUAUGCACAUUGGCAUUUGCACAGAUUUGAAAACCACUUCUCAUGUCAUACAAAACACGAUGGAGCUUUCAAAUCAUGAGAUUGACCGCAACCAAUUAUAUAUGGAACACCUCCCAUAACCUUGCCCUUGUGAUUAGUAUGUUAAACUUCAUCUUUUGAAGUGAAAAGAUGAAAGGGCAUAUCAAUAUUGUUUAGAAAUUUCUCUGUUGGCAAAGUCACUUAGGUACUAUAAUGUGAAGAGGCAAAAGAUAUUGGAUUGGAUACUUUCAGUAUCAUUCAGAAAAAGAAAAUAAAAACUAUGUCAACCAGAAUUCAAUGCCAAAACAGACACAUUCCUUUAGAAUUAACUUCAACAAUUAAAAAGCCAAAUACUGCUUGCCAUAUCAACUAACUAAACUACUGACAUCAGAGAUGUUUCUCUACUUUAAGCUUGCAAUGCAUUCAUUGGAUGAUUUUGCAAUAUUCUAAGAAAAUGCAUUGAGGCGUACCUCUAUUCAUAUGGUAUCAGGAUCCUCCAUGCCAACCCUUGUAAACGACCAGCUGAAUUAUCACUUGGAAGUGGCACACGAAAUAUCUCAGCACUCUCUAACAAAAACUGUUUAAAAGGGAGAGAGAGUCGAGAAGAAGAAAGGGGAAGAGUAAGAGGCUUUUUCCUGUUUUCUCAGGCUUAAUCCAAUUAGGUAUUGGAAUGAUCAAGAAAUCUAUUUGAUCCCUUUACAUACAUAUAAGCAAAAGUAGCUGUAAAUUGUAAUAAACCAUAAAGGGUAUCUGGUCAAAACUUGCUCACAUGAUGGUGCAGCUGUAAUGAGACCAGAAUGUGAUAUUUAGUGGGAGUUGGUAGUAAAAUAUUCCAAUCAUGUGAACUAUUCUCAGCAAAUUAUUGCUUGCAUGUCAAACCUGUAUCUCUGCUGUAUAGGACGAUAAAAUCUUGGUCCUUACCACUACUUAUUCACAUGCUUCUGAAGAGCAAUUAACUGUCUAAGUUUACUUGGAUUCAAAUUGAUUUGGAAGUCUGAAUUCAUGAAUUAACUAAUUCAAACUUUGCGGAGAAAGGGGAAAAAAGAAUCAACUAGUUCAACAAACACUAGAGAAACUAGUGCACAAACCGUGGUCUACAAAGGAAAAAGUCUAUUUUUCAGUGGAAAUGCCAGCUGAUUAGUUAUGGUGGAGAGUCUUUUAAGUCCGAGGUAUAGGUUGGUGGGAACACAGAGACAGACUCCUGUUGCCAACCCAAACUUUGACUAUCUUGCCAUGGAAGCUACUACAGCUUUUGAUCAAACAUUUCCCUGCUAAAAUAUUAUUGUAAUUGUGUCAAAAGGAUCUUUGACUUCACAUCUGCAAGUCUGCAUCAGGUAACAAAUCAAGGAUCUCCAUGCCAAUAAUUUUAACGAGGAAAAUAUCUUAUCGGAACUAGUACUAAAACAGGUGGAAUCUAACAACAAAGAAACACAAGAGCACAGGAUGUUAUCAAGAUCAAAAUGGUGAACGUUGCAUUCCAGGGUGGUUGAACAGAGGUCUCAAUCCCAACCACAAAAUUAGAAAGAUUUUUAAGAACAAGAGUUUUUUCACUCUUCAAGUCAUGCUGACAAUACUUUAGCAUACAAUAGAUAGCAGCUCCAAUAGCAAAACAUCUUGGAUGUCACAUGAAGUUGAACUAAAUUUGAAUCGAAAGCAACUACACCUAAAAGCAGCAAGAAGCAUGGUGAAUCUUUUUGCCAGAUAACUCUUACUAGGAGAUGCCUGGGCCAUCCCACAAGUCCUUUGACGCCAUUGAUCAGAGUCCUGAAUAGAAAAUGUCCUUGAGGCUUGCUAACAACACUGUUAGGACUACUUCUAAAAACACCGGAUAGGAUAGGAGUUUAUUUGGAUGAUUUAUUUGAAAUAAUUACUGUAGCACUUUUUAUGAUGUGAUGUAUAUGAGAUAAAAAGGUGAUUGAAAUUUAUGAAACAAAUUAUUUUAUCUGAAAUCAUGCCAAUCCAAACAAAAUAUUUGGAUUGAAGUUUGACUGACGAUCAAAAUAUUUGUUGGGCCCACUCAAUUUGUUUUAGCUCUUUUAGUCGUGGACAAAAACAAGUACGUGAGCUACACAACCUCUAUUAUGAGAAAGAGUUUGCAUAGAGUUGAACAAAAACUACAAUUCUCAUUUAGCCCCACUUUCUUGUAACUACCACUGCUAUUAAGGAUAUUAAAACCGGAAAGAAGACUCAACUAUUUGUUUUGGCCCUUUCGGGCUUCAUGUUGUCAUCUGUACUCGGCUUUCAAUGAGACAACAUUCAUCACUGACGUUAUUGAACUCCUUGAAAAGCCUAACAGAUUGUGACUUUCUCUUAAAUUGUGAAGUCCAAUUUUUUGAUACGCUAGUAUUAGAAGUUCACCUCAGCUGAUAUAGAAAGUACCUUUCGUCUAAACAUCAUCAAAGGUUCAUGUGCAAGAGUGAUCACCUUAGUCUAAGAUUCUCCAUAUUCCUUCAUAACCCAUAGAUCACCUGCAGCCCAUGCACAACGAAGUAUGUAUUGAACAUUCGUUUUUCAGCCACCAACAACUAUGUCGGCUUAAUUGACUUCACUUCCAUAGGGAAUGAGAUCAAGUAACAUCUAUGGAAAUUGAAAUAUGACGGUGAGAUUGACAGUCAAAUCACCAAUCUUGUAUCUUUUACUCUAAUCAACGAUUUUGUGUAUUGAAUCGGGACACAUAUCUAUUGAAAUCGGUCAUAAUUAUCACUUGUUUGGAUUACUUCUCGCAACAUUGCUAUUAAACUCACAUGUGUAAAUCAGCAAUAACUUCAAUGUGCAAUGAUAAACUCCAGUUAAUCUACCUGAAAUCCAGUUCAUGAACAAGGACUAAAGUUUGUUCAAGAAUGGGCAAAUAAACAACGUGGAUAAAAAUACACUAAUGGGAAAAAAAACUCAGCUAUGGCAAUAGAGACCCUCAGAAUUUUGUGGGUUUCAUGUUGUCAUUGCAGUUUGAGUCAUGUGUACUCGGCAAAACGAGGCUUUCAGUAAAGCAAUAAGCAUCGAACACGUUAUAAAUCUCCUUCAAGAGCCGGAAAGAUUUACCUUCUCUUGAACUGUAAAGCUCAAUUCCAUCACACUCUCGCAUCAACAAUUCACCCUCAGCUGAUACAGAAAGCAGCUUUGGGCAAAAUGGACCCGAAGGUUCAUGUGGAAAUGUAAGCACCUUAGUCCAAGAUCCUCCAUAUUCCUUCAUUACCCACAGAUCACCACCUCUUCCAAAAGGACCGGGGAAAGGAUUAAUAAAAUACAAAAGGAUCCCUUCAAUUUCACUCAACGUUACGCACACAUCACUCUCGUAAUGAUUCGGUUCCUCCAUCUCCCCAUAUGUCUCCGUCGCUAGAUCAAGUGAAACAAUAAUUCUACCACGCACUUUUUCAUGGGCCAAAAAAUGGAGCUUCCCGUUCACAAGCACACCAGAUGAAGGGGAUGUAUACCGAGGAGUACUAGGAAAAUCUGCAAUCCUUCUCCAAGCUUCACUUUUCCUGCUGUAAACUCUAGUCUCAACCCUCAAACCUUCGCCAUUAAUCGAGCAUUGUUUUACCAGUAUCACUGCUUUAUAAUCGUCACUAAAACUAUCAUACCCAAAACCCCAGACCCUGUUUAAGGGAGAUGUUGAUGGAAGACCUAAAUUGGGCAACUUCUUGUAUUUUCUUAUUGAUGGAUUCCACAAUAUAAAAUCGGAUUGACUCGCUCGAGUGACGGAAAUACAUAUCAAUCCAUCACAACAGCCAACAAUACGAACAGGACCAUACCAGCUUAUAUGCUCGGUAAACGACGACGCCCCUCUUCCGCUUCGUUCAUCAGGCAGCGGGAUUGGGAUGUCAAGGGUAAUCAGACGAGGACUAGGCUCUCCGUACAUUAAAGACUUAAGAGAACAAUGUUUGAAGCUGCCAAAGUUGCCCAAUAUGAGGAGGCGCUGGUUGUCUUCGGAAGCAUGGUCUUUGAGAUGAGCUUUGAUGAAUUGAGGGCUCCAAAUUACCGAAAGCCAUGAUUUUGAAACACACCUGAAUUUCAACAGUGAUUUUACCGGUAGCUUUGACAAAAUCUCUGUUAUGAGAUGAAGGGGAAUAUACUUAUCCAUCAAUAAUGUUUGUUUAUCGCUUGCAAUAAUGUUCUGUAAUUUUUCCAAGUUUUUUGUAGGUGACUUCAUGAAGAUGUUCAAAUCUAUGCUGGACUCGGUUAAUAAAAGGGUAUGUAGUCGAGGCCGUUUCCUUACCAAGAAGGUAUACGGGUUAGCAACAAAUACAAUUGUCGUCCAAAAUCUGGUCAGUUUUGGAAAUUAAUAAUACUCAGUGUUUCUCUUCUAUUCUUCUUUGCCAUGUGUACGUAGUAUUAUAAGUUUUGUAUCUCUACGUAGUGAGUAAUGUACAAAAUCUAUUGGCAUAUUCAGUUUACAAUUGGAAAGGUAAUAGAAGUCACCGGAAGUUUCCAACUUCAAUUCUUAAUUAUGAUAAGCAUUUGGUUUUUCAUGGUAAGUGAUAAAAACAAAGAUUUUUUUGACGGAAAACUACUAAGUUAUUAUUUAUUUAUGAUUGCAUUUAGUUUACUGCCUUUUGCUUUGAGUCAUUUUUUUUUAUUGAAUUUCAACUUUUUAAAAAAGAGCCCUGGAAAAUUUAUUACACAAAAAACUUUUUUUAUUUGUAAUGUGUACCAUUUUUUUAUUUUUUAAGGAAAACUACGAGUCUCAUAAAGAGGAAGGGAAAGGAAAUAAAUGGUUUGAGAGUGGACUUCAAUUGUACAUGUUGAGGGCCCUUAGACGGUUUUGGCGAGAUAAAUGUACUUUUGUUGAAGUUAAAAGAGAUGAUUUAUAUAUCAAUUGAUUGAAACAUCCGUUUGGAGAGCAGGUAAUACAAGUUAUCCUAAUACAAGAUCUACUUAUUUUGUUUUUGUUCAAUGGAAAAGUGGCAAUUACUUGACUACUAUCCUACCAAUAACAAAACCUGCUUUUUUACAGAAGGUUCUCUUACACAUUAGUCCAUAUUCCCUUUUUUUUUUUUGUCUCGAAUAUUUACCCUUUCCCGUUUAAAAAAAAAAAAACCCACUUCUUGGUUUCUGCCUUACGCGGAAUAAUAAUUGCAAAUCAUGCAAAAUAUGCAUUAUUUUUUUUAAAAUAUAUAUAUUUUUUUUGUCAUGAUUUUGAAUCAUCUUCAAAACGCAGACCAACAUGAAAUACCUGUCGAAUUGAAUUGUCGGUGCCAUAAAAUAUCCCAACCUUUUGAUAUGCAUCAUGAUUUUUGUUAACAUUCGCUGAAACUAGUCCUUUAUCACUUAAGGAAGACAGAUUGUUUUGAAUAAAUUUCGACAGUUAAGAGGCUAAGGUAUUGUUCAGUGCAUCACAAAACUACGGUCAUCUCCAAUUUACUAACAAGGUCAUCAGAAAAUGGCAGCACGAGUCUCAGCUCACUCAGAAAAUUGCAGUUUAGAAAGGAAGAGGCAGUGAAGAAGAAGAAAAGGAAAGUGUGAGAGUCUUUUCAAUCCUUCAACACUUGCGGAAUGAAAGGGUUUGGAAUUGGAUGGCAGCGGAUCGAUCCUCUAUUACACAAGUGGGUGUUAUACCUCUAUUACACUCUUCAAAUUAGAGUAACUCUUGUACUUUUUGGUGUAAUUUUUCAUUGGGUGGAUGUAGACCAGCAUUUGAUAUCAAAGUAAAUCUUAUAUAUAUUAAUUAUAUGUUAGUGUAUAGAAAAUUUAUCUUUGAUCUAAAAGAAUUAGUGUAAUAAGGAUGUAGCACAUAAAAUUAUAACAGAAACUAUUCCUUUGUUCUCUUCUUGUCCCUCGUCUGGUACGUAAGAAUGGCUUGAAGAGAAAAGGUCUUUUCAACUUGUCCAUUCCAUUCAAACAUUUGGUAUGGUUCAUUUAAAUUGGAAAGCCCUUUUCCCUGGAAUGUUUAUUCCAUUUUUUUUUUCUGAAAUCCCAUUUAUCAAAAAGAAAAAAACUUAAGAAAAGUUUUUCCACCUUUAUUCUAGAACGCUUAAACAGUAGGAUGUCAAAUUUAUCCCUAUAAAUUGCUACAUUGCAUCCUAAUAUCUGAAGACUAUUUGUAAGUUCAAUAAAUAUUUGAAUGUAAUUUUUCAUAAUGAUUAAUUUUCCUUGUAUUUAAAAUAAUUUUUUUCUUUUAUACUAGGAAACAACUGUUUUAAGAUACUUUAUUCUUUGACUUUUGAACAAUUGUGCAAGAAUUUCUUUUGAAUCUUAUAAAAAUUGAAAAUAAAUUAUAAUUAUUUGACUUCAUGUAAUUUAUAUUUUACGAUGCUAAUUAUAUUGCUAGUAAAUGCAAAAUUUUAACUUACAAAUCUAUAUAUUAAAAUGAAUCAAGUAUUACAAUUGAAGAAUUUUGAUAUUAAUCCUCAUUUAUUUUUGAAGUAAAAAUAUCAAAAUUUUACGUAAAUAGACAAAUACUAUUAUAAAACAAAUAAAAAAGUAAUAAGACAUAUUAUGUCCUAUAAACGAAUUUAGGGCAAUCCAGUCAAAUUUGUAUUUAGUAUAUUCCAUUCUUACAUCUAAUUUAUUGAUUACACUAAACAUUGAAAACUGAGUAAAUAUUCAAUUCUAACUUGUCCACUAAACUCUAGAAUAAUAAAUUUGUUUCCCCACCAUUCUGGGUGGAAACAUAUUCUGGGCAUUCCCACGUAUCAAACGAGAGGUUAAUCCCAUUAGGUAUAUCUAUUGUAGGAGUAGUUGUAAUAGACCAAGAAAGUUUCUGGUCAAAACUUGCCCACAUGAUGCUGCAGCUGUUGGGAGACAAGAAGCUGAUAUAUUGUGGGAGGUGGUAGCAAAACAAUUGAAUCAUGUGCUCUAUUCUCAGCAAAUUAUUGCCUGCAUGUCAAAUCUAUAUCUUGCUGUAUGGGACGACAAAAUCAUGGUAAACACUACUACUUAUCUACAUGGUUCUCAAGAGCAAUGAAGCAUUUAACUGUACCCUGGAUUCGAAUGGAUUGGGAAGUCUGAAUUCAUGAAUUCACUAAUUCAAACUUUGUGGAGAAAGGGAAAAGAAAAGAAUUAACCAGUUCAACAAACACUAGAGAUGCUAGUGUCCAGAAAACCUUGUCUGUAAGGGGAAAAGUAGCAAGGAUGAGAAAAUAUCCGGCACAAUAAGAUUUUUAAAUGGAAAUUCCAGUGAUUAAUUACGCUGGAAAGUCUUUGAGUCCGAGGUAUAGGUUGAUGGGAACACGAAGACAGAUUCCCAUUGCCAACCCAGACUUUGACUAUCUUGCCAUCCAAAAUGCUACGGCUACAGAUCAAAUAUAACCUCAUAAAUUAAUGUAAUUGUGAUCAGUUAAAAAGUCAAUGACCAGAUUUUUAAGUCUGCAUUAGGUCACAAAUCAAGGAUCUCAAUGCCCAUAAUUUCAACAAGGAAAAUAUCUUGUAGAACUAGUAUUGUGCAGUAAAUUCAGGGUUCAUGGAUGAGCAACAAUUUACAACUAUGUAUCUAGAAUGAUUAUGUAUUUACAAUUAUAAAUUGACCUUGUUGACUCCAAAACAAUAUAUGAUCGAGUAAAAGAAAUGAAAAAAAGAAACAAUUGAAACUAGCCUUGUCUCCAAAUAUUCUUCUCAAUUCUUGGCCUAAUAUUCAACAUGAACUCCUUAAAAGGCUUAAUAGAUGGACCUUCUCUGAAAUGGUGAAGGCCAAAUCUUUGACACAUUACUAGUAUUGAGAGUCCAUCCUUAGCUGAUGAUAUUGGGAGUACCUUGGGAAGACCAGACCCAAAGGGUCAUCUGAAAUGGUAAACAACUUAGUCCAAGAUUUGUCAUCUUCCAUCAUAGCCCGUAGAUCACUAGCCCGCCAAUACAAGUUGAUUUAACCAGUAACGACGAAUUAUAUAUGCUAUCAACAUAAAAAUUCUACCAAUGUGAUAACCGCAGUGAGUGAUCUAUAAGAAGAAUUCUCCAAUAAAUGUUCUAUAGUUCCGAAAACAUGUUUUAUGUCAACAUUGAUUUGUAAUGGUGAUCAAAAUUGAAUUUAUCUAAACUUCUUUUAUUGAAAAAAAACAAACAAUAGCACGUUGAUAAUCGUACCCGAAAGGAAUUUGAUAAAACAUAAGGCUCCAUCCACUUUCUCCUAACCCUGCCUGCAUAUAAUCAUUAUUGGUAUGAUUCGGUGCUUCAAACAGCCUAUAUAGAUCUGUUGCUAAAUCAAGAGAAACAACAAUUAUCCUAGCCACAUUGUCGUGGGCCAAAAGAUGGAGCUUCCCCUUCACAAGCACACCAGAAGGAGACAUAAAUGAAGGAGCACUAGGAAAUCUGCAAUCCUUUUCCAAGUGUCAGUUUUCAUGCUAUAAACUCUAAGUCCGAUACCACCUGUGCUCGUCCAAAAAAGGAAGCGAAAUGUUACCGCAACUUUGUAAUCGUCGCUACAACAAUUGUAUCCGAACCCACAGGCCCCAAAAACCAAAUGUUUUGAUGGAAGACCUAAAUCAGGCAACUUAUUGUACUUUCUUAUCGAUGGAUUCCACGAUGUGUAAUCAAAUUUUUCAAUAAAUCCACUUACCCGAAAACAUAGCAAUCGGUCGCAAAAGCCAAAAAUUGUCACAAAAUCGUACCCGGUUUCUAUUAUUGGUAAUUGUGGAAGCCCCUCAUCCACUUCGUUCCACGGAUGAAUUGAGAACUCAAAAUUAACGAAAGUCAUGAUUUUGAAAUACAUUUGAAUUUCAUCAAUGAUUUGACAGGAAGCUUCGACAAAAUUUCAGUUAUGAGACGAAGGGGAAUAUAUUUAUCCAUAGGUGAUAUUUACUUUCGACAAACUAUGGCUUCCAAUGUUCUAUUCUGAUGAAAUUGCUCUGAUUUAUGCGGGUUUCGGUUGUAGGGCUUGAAGGCGGAGGGGUUAUUAUCAACAUUAAACUCUCACCCAAAUAUGGUUGUACUAAAUUUUGGAAAUUAACAAUACUUCAAAAUAUCCAGUGGCAUAUUCAAUUUACAAUUGGAAAAGCAAACUAAGUUCCUAUAUGUUUCCAAAUUCAAUUUCUAAUUAUAAGAAGGAUUCUUUUUCUAUAACAAUUAGGGAAAAACAAGGAUUUUAUUAGAGGCCACUAGUUCAAAAUUAAGCUCCUGUAUGUUGUCAUCUAUUAACGUUUGCUCUGAGUCAUUCUUCUGGUUUAUUCUUACUUUUCAGGAAAACAAAAUACUAGACUAAAUGUAAGGAGUGGAGUAGACGUCCUUAAAAAGUCUCUUACCAUCUAUUAGUAUUAAUUUCUUCUAAAUUGACACUAGGGAUGGACAGUUAUUGAAAUACUAAUAAAAUCUUAAUCAAACAUAGAUGAAAUCUUGCUCAAGACUACUCCUUUUUGUCGCAGCUAAUCUGUCUUUUCUCAACAGUUAUGUCCAUCAUUUUGGGGAAAAGAAUUUUCAGAUGACUGUGCAUAUUAAAUAUCCCCAUGAAUGUGUAUGCUUGAACGCAAACAGAGAAAAAAAAUUUGAGCAUUUGUUCUCGACAACAUCAAUAUUUUAGCUCCCAACCACUACUCGUCUUAAUUGGCUUUCACUUAUUCCAUAGGUAAUGACAUCAGAAGUAACAGCUAAGGAAUUUGAAACAUGAUGCAUGGUGGCUUGACAGUCAAAUCAGCAACAUUGAUGUUUUAUUUGUAAUUUUCAAUCUAAUGAAUAUUUUUUAUGUUCAAUCAGGAAAUUAGGAGUGCUUCUAGCUAGGAAUGUUGUUGUUUAACAUGGGGUAAGUGAGCAAUAACUUCAAUGUGCAAUGAUGAACUCCAUUUAAUCUACCUGAAAUCCAGUUUAGAAGAAGGGCUAAAGUUUAUUCAAGAAGAAGAAGAUAAACAACAUGAAUAAAGAUGCACUGAAACAGCAUAUAGGGGUGAACCAUUACAAAUUUCAAGCAUCAUCUACCCCUGAAUUCGGUUACUUUAGAACAAAAGAAAUUUUAAACUUUUGGAGACAACCAACAACCCUAAGUCACCUCUUUUCAAGUGCCUUUAGAGUACAUGAUAGAAGAACCCGACAAUAAAGACCCUCUCAGCUAUAUGUUUUGGGCUUCAUGUUUUACUGUAAUUUCCAUGAUUUUUUCCCUGGGAAAAUGAGGCUUUCAAUAAAACAACAAGCAUCAAGGACAUUGUUGAAUUGCUCGAAAGACCUAAAACAUUGAUCUUCUCUUGAAUUGUAAACUCCAAUUCUUCGAGACUUCAAUAUUAAAUGUUCACCCUUAGCUGAUAUCGUAAGUACAUUUGGGAAAAACGAAGGACACGAAUUUUCAACACUAAUCACCUUAGUCCAAGAUUUUCCAUAUUCCUUCAUGAUCCACAGCUCACCAGCCUGUAGACAACCAUUUAGGUCCGGAAUUUCAUAAAAUCCUAACUUCCCCGAGAGAUCAUUCUCUUUAGGAUUCGGUGCUUCCAACUCUCUGUACAUCUCCGUGGCUAAAUCAAGAGAAACAAUAUAUGCUCCACGCGCUGUUUCCUUGGCCAGGAAAUGGAGCUUCCCCUCGACCAGCACACCAGGUCCAGAAGACAGAAAUGAUGUAUCGCCAUGCAAUCAGCAAUCCUUCUCCAAGCUCCAGCUUUGGAGAUGUAAACUAGAGUCCCAUACCUCGAGUAUUUGGCAUUCAUCACCAGUACCACUACUUUAUAAUCGUCACUAGAAGCAUCAUACCCGAAGCCCGAGAUCACAGAUAAGGAAGCUGUCGAUGGAAGAAUUAACUCAGGCAAAUUCUUGUAUUUUCUUAUUGAUGGAUUCCACAACAAGAAAUAGGAUUGACGAGGUCGAAAGACGCAAAUACAUAUCAAUCCCUCACAACAGCCAACAAUUUCAAAAUACCUGCACAGGUUUCUAUCGUUGGUUGUUGUAAGGGCUCCUUCAUCCUGUGGGAUUAGGACAUGGGGACUAGCCUGUCCGUACAAUAAAGAGUUGAGAGAACAAUAUUUGAAGCUGCAAUUGUUCUCCAACACAAGUAGGCUUUGGUUGAUUAGCGAAGUCUGGUAAUUGAGAUGAGCUUUGAUGAAUUGAGGGCUCGAAAUUAACGCAAGCCAUGAUUUCGAAACACACUUGAAUUUCAAGAGUGAUUUCACUGGAAGCUUUGACAGAGUUUCAGGUAUGAGAUGAAAAGGGAUAUGUCUAUCCAUCAUUGAUGUUAUUGUUCGAUGAAACUUAUAUUGCUCUCAAUACUCUGUUCUGAUCUUCUUUAUUUUUCCAAGAUUUUGUGGUCUUUAUGAAGUUCAUCAAAAUCUAUGCUUUCACUAUACGUGCUGGAUUCGGAAAAACAGAACAUGAAACUUUUUGGCAACUAAUAAUACUUCUACAAUCUACAUGAAACUAUUUUUGUCUGGAAUAUGUUUUUAUCUCCUCGUCAUGUACAAAACCUAUUGGCAUCUAGAGUUUCUAGUAGGAAAGGUAACACGGAGUAUAAGUUACUUGUAGUUUCCGAAUUCUAUUCUUAACCAUAUUCUGUUUCCAUGGGAAGUGGUAUAAGCAAGAACUUUUUUGACGGAAAAUCAGAGGUGGCAAUUGAGCUCAAAGAGACUUUGUGCGGGAUGGAUUUAGAGCAUCUAAUAUUGGGUAUUAUAUGGGAUUAAUCCCAUGCUCAACAAGUAAUGGGAUUGCUUGUGUGUUAAUUGGCAUCCAUCACAUAAUACAACUACCUUACAUAAAAAAUUAGCCCAACGUAUUUAUAAUAGUUAAAACGAGGGGAAUUUUAUGUAAAUUACUCAAUAUCUUAUGAGUCUAAAUUUUUAAAUUAUUCCUAAAAUAUGAAUUUUUAUUUUUGUUGCCAAAAAAAACAUUGUAAUAUCAACUACUGAAAUAUAAAAAAAAUUGAGUAGUAAAUCAUAGUAUACGAGGAUUUAGUAAACGAUGAUUUACAACGUAAUAUUUAGAGGGUGCAAAACGUUAUUGAUCUUAAAUAAGCUGCAACAAUUGUGAAAAGUAAUUUCUUUAAAUAUCAAAUAACUAAAGGUAAAUAAAUGCCCUUCCGGAAUUGCGUUUGUAAUUCGUUGAAGAACACACCCUCAGAAUAUGGCAGUAGCAAACCCGGAUCCAUUUAGAAUUGGAAUGGUAGGACAGGGUACUAUCAGUUUCCAAAUUCAAUUCUUAAUUACGAUAAGGAUUGGUGUCCUAACAGGUAACAAUUGGGCAAAAACAAGGAUUUGAUUAGAGGGCACUAGUUAAUAUAAUACUCUAGCAUCUAGAUUCUAGUCAAAUAUCGGACAUUUUAGUCCAAAAAAUUUUUUUUUUUUUUUAAAAAGUCCGACUUCAUUUUAAUUAAGUGGGAUAUUGUAUUUGAGGGACUAAUGAAGUUUAGGAACCAAAAAAUAAUUUGGAUAUAAUUGAAGGGUGCAAAAUAAAAUUAACCCCAUAAAUAAAGAAAAAAAAUUUACCCAACCCUUGUACCUUACUAAAUGAAGAUUUUAGCCAUCAAUUACUACACCGUCUUGGCUUCGCGUCCGUAGGCAACAAUACCAGACACAACAGCAAAGGAAAGUGAAAGAUGAUGGUAAGCUUGACAAAGAAACAAAACAAUGGUGUUUUAUUUGUAUUUUUCAACAAUUUCGUGUACUUAAUCAGGACAAAUAUCUAGUGACUGCUGCAAAUCGAUUUCAAUCAUCGCUUGUUAGGACUUAUGAUAACUUGUAAGGAAUUGCCAUUAAACUCAGGGUAAAACAGCAAUAACUUCAAACAUGCAACGAUGCCCCAGUUAAUCUACCUAGAAUCCAGUUUACAAAACAAAAGCUACAAGUUCAUUCAAGAAUGCGCAGAUAAACAACCUGAUAAAGAUACAAUGUCAAAAACUUGGCUCUGUGAUGUCUCAGCUGGGUAAUAUAGGCCCUUUAAACUGUUUGUUUUGGGCUUCAUGUUGUCAUUGCAGUUUGCAUCAUUUGUGCUCAGCAAACCAAGGCUUUCAAUGAAACAACUAGCAUCAUAAGGUAAUUAAAUUUUUUAUCUAGCAGAAUAAAUUUCAGUUUUUGGAGAAAUAUUGCUCAAGUUUGAGAAAAUGUACUAAAAUGCUUAGUUAUGGCUCCAUAAGGUAGUAAAAUCUUAUCCUAGUAAGGGUUUUCUUUGAUCUAAGUUCAUCAAUAACUUCAAUAACAUCCAUAAAGUACUGCAAUCUUCAAUUGAACUACCUGAACUCCAGUCAAAACUUCAAUAUGCAUCCAUAAAACACUGCUGAUGUUUUACACCAAGCAAAAAAUGUCUAGUCAAAACUUGCCCACAUAAUAGUGCAGCAGUAAUGAGACCAGAAGAUGAUACCUAGCCGAGAGUUGCUAGGAAAACAAUCCGAUCAUGUGCUCUGUUCUCAGCAAACUAUUGCCUUCAUGUCAAAUCUCUGUCUUGCUGUAUAGGACGAUAAUAUCAUGAUGAUUAAUACUAAUCCACAUAUUCUGAAAUCAAAUUACUACUACGAAGCAAUUCAGUUUAUAUGGAAUCAAAUUGACUAGGAAAUAAAUAGAUUAACAAACACUACAGAAACUAGAGUUCUCAGAACAUUGUCUAUAAAGAAAAAAGUCACAAGGAUGAGAAAAUAUCACGCAUAAUAAGUUGUUUCAAUGGAUAUGCCAGCUGAUUAGUUAUGCUGUCAAGUCUUCAGUCCAAGGUAUAGGUUGAUGAGAACACGGACACAGAUUCCCAUUGCGAACCCAAACUUUUGACUAUCUUGCCAUGGAAACUACUACAGCUUCAUAUCAAACAUAGCCUCCUAAAAUAUUGUAAUUGUGAUAAGUUGAACUGCCAAAGUAGUCUUCUACUUCACAUCUGUAUGUCCGCAUUAGGUCACAAAUCAAGGAUCUCAAUGCCCAUAAUUUCAACAGGAAAAAUAUCUUAUUAAGGAUGGAAGUGCACAGAUGGAAUUUAGCAAAAAAAAAGUCAUUCGAUCAAAAUGCUCAGGAUGUUAUCAAGAUCAAAAUGUUGGAUGGUGCACUCCAGGUUUGAAUGAGGUUCUCAAGCCAACCACAAAUAAAACAUCUGAAAGAUCGAGGCUUUUUCACUGCCUGCCACCAACUUUAUGUAAUGCUGCCAUAAUUUUAGCAUACACAAGAUUGUUGAUCAAAGAACUAAACGCCUUAUACUCAACUGAUGUCAAAUAAACUUAAUGUGAAUUCGAGGUAUAUGUGAGUACACCUCAAAGAAGCAAGAAGCCCCGUGAGUCUCUUGGCCAAAUAAAUCCUACCAAAAUAUAGCCACCCCACAGGUCCUUUGACUCCAUCCAACAUUCCUGAAUAGAAAUUGUCCAUGUGCCUUCCUCACAAUCCCACUUAUCUACAGGCUACAGCUGUCUAAGACACCAUUAUCUCAUCAAUAUUCGAAAGGUAUUUUAAUAAGUCAUAAGCCCUUAAUCAUUAAUGGGUGUAUUAGAAGAAUCAAGUCUACCUGAUAAAACUAAGGGGACCAAGUAAAAAGAUUAUGUUGUAUGCAAGCUAUAUUUCUUCUCACCAAGAAGGAUCGGGCAGAGGACAACCCACAUGGCAAAAUAACCUUGACAGGUUUAUUCAUUGAGAAUAUGCAUUUACAUACAUGACAGAAGUUUGAAGUGAACUAUUCUUAUUACAGAAUAACAUGUUGGCAGUUAUCUCUGAAAUUUAACAAGUACAGGACUAGCAAUAGAUCUGACUAUAAGUAUCUUUCUUCUGUGUUAGUUGCGAGAAUGCUCGGCAUCUGAUAUAGGCCGCUUAAAAUGAGACGGAAUAUCCAAUUUCACUAUUUUGAUGUUGAGAUUACUUGUUUAUAUCAAUCAAUGUUGUCCAAUUUAGCUUUCCAUAUUUCAGCAAAUAUACACACUAAACUGUUCAACAUCUUAAUGAGGGGAAAAGGUUAUCUUAAAAAGAAUCCUCAACUAAAUCUAUUAAAGAUAGAUUCAAAGAUACAUUGAAGGUUGAGGGACCAUAUACCUUUCAAUAUCUUCCUCGAGAAGAAACUUGCCCUACUGGCAAAAACAGCUACCAUACAGUUAAUAGAUAGAAUGCGGAAAUGAAGAGCCUUCUUUGGAGCACAACAUUCUUUUCGUUGGAUAAGGCAGUGAAUAUCAUACUUUCACUCUUUAAUAAUGAGACUAACUUUGAUGACUUUCUGAACAUGCAGUGAGAAGUGAAUGAAACAGUAAGGUUACUACUGAUCAUCAAUCUCUUAAUAACUCACAAACAGGUAAUUAGGAAAAAAAUUACCAUAACUAAGAAGUCAGAGAUUGUUGUGUUUCUUAAUCUUUAGAUUAAGAAAUUACCAUAACUAAAGCUCCUUACAGAGACAAGAUAUCUGCUCGAUGAAACAAACUUUCCGCGACCAAUUGAUAAACUUUCCAAUCAACAGAAUUGAUAAAGUCAUACCAACAAAAGCUGCACUCCAUGCAAGAAGUAAAUGUUUAUCAUAGAAACAAAUUUGAAUAAAAUCAGAUUCCAAGUCUACAACAUGCAAGUGACCUCAAAAGGAUAAAUGCUAAUAAUUGAAAUUGACAUUAGCUAUGGUCAAUCUCCAUAAAAGUUACCUCCUUUACAAAAUUAUGAAUUUCAAAGCACCAAGCCCCUGAUUGCGAAAUAAAACAGACUUCAGCAUCAUCCUCCGUUCUCUUUCCUGUUAGAGAUAUCGACCAUCUCAAUGCGCUCAUUUUCAGGCAAAACUGACCAAUUUGGAGACUGCACUGCUCUCAGCCACCGAAAAUCAUCCACAUUAGCCCAAUUCCCAGUCUCUUCACUCAAAUUCGCUUCCCCAAGAUCCUUCUCCAUCCCAGCAUACUUCAAACAGUAGGGUGCAAACCUCACCUCACUACUAUCCUCAAUGAUCGGCCUACUCCUCACUCUUAAGUAAAAAUCACAACUUUUAGCAUUAUGAAUCCUAAUCUGAUGUGACGCCAACACGAAAACACACUCCUCCACGUCCUCGAUCAAAACCGACCCAAAAACCAGGCCAACAUAAACCCUGCAACCUCUCAACUUAUUCACAAAUAACGCCCUCAGACAACCCUUUAAUCUCACCUCACAACCCUUCAAAUUCGACACCGAAAAUUCCCCAAUUUCGCCCUCCCUAUCAAAUUCCUUCACUAAAACCUCAUUCUCCUUACCCCUAAACCCUUGUGAAGAUUGAAAAAGCCCACUCAAACCCACAAUUUCUAUCCCCAAUGUUGGCUUUUCUGACUCAUUUACGAUGCUGUUUUGAGCUGGGCUUGGACUAGGAUCUGCGGAUGGUUUCUUUUUGUUUCUGAAGGAGAAUUUUUUCUUGGGGAUGACAUGGGAGGUGGCGUCAUCGAGGGAUAGCUUGAGAUCGGAUAUAGUUUUGAGGCAGGUGCGGACUUCGUAAGAGGGUAAAUAGUAGGAGCUCUCAGCGACGAGCUUCUCGAGGGUGGAGAUUGAGACGGAAACGUUCUGGAGCUCGGAUUUUAACGAAUCGGGGUCCGAGGAGGUCGUGUGAGAAAUGCGAGCAAGGUUGGAUUCGAUGGACAGCUUUGAUUCGCUGAAGCGAGCUAGGAAGGACUGAAUGGACUCAGCGUUCGAGGUGAGGUCCGAGUUGGGUUUCUGCGAAAUGCGGGAAUGGUGGAGAUUGUUGAGGCGCUCUACCAUUGCCGCGUGCUUCCGCUGGAGGGCUGCAUCUUGCGAUUCAGGUAUUGUGGCGGCGGUGGUGGUGGAGCUGAAGGCGAACGCUGAGGCGGCGUUGGUGGUUGAAUCUGCUGGUGGAUGAUUGUCCUCCGCCAUUUCCGUUUCCGUCAGCUUCCAACUUGUUUUCGUCUACACUUCUUUCCUUUUACUCCCAGCAAAGAUACCCGUUAAUUUCAAUACCCUCCCCUUUAUAUACCCCUUUUCACAUUUUAAACUAGAUUUGAUUAUUUAAAUGAGUUUAAUCAGGCUGAGUAGUAAUCCAUCAUAUAUUGAUUUAUAACAGAGUAAUAGUAAUAAUCUAUUAACAUGUUUGGAUACGAGAUUAUUUGGAAAAAUUAUUUGAAAAAAUUGGUUGAAAACAUUUUUAAAAAAAUGUGUUAAAAAAACGUGUUUAUAAUGCGAGUAAAAAAAAUUUUACAAAUAAGAUCAAAUCACAUACAAGCUUAGAAUAGUAGUCCACCAAAUUCUCACUAAUAACAAGCUUGAAAAAAUGCCUAAAAGAACUUGAUGUGAGUUUUUCUUUUUCCAUUAUUGUGAUUUAUAUGUAAUAUUGGUUGACCAGGCACUGCAAUUAACUAGCAAUACUGUAAUUUCACUCGAAAGUUGUCGAUUAAUGGAAGUUUGUUCGACUGGACUUUAACAAGUUGAUGAACUAAUUUAAUACGUGCACUAAUUGAGCAAAACUAGAAUCAGACAUCUUGCUCGUGUUUGAGCCUUUAGUGUUACAGCCCAUAAUGAUGAAAUGCAAUUUUUUUUUUUUUUCAGUAACGAUAACAUUUAUAUGACCUAAUCUAUUUUAUUUUAGGAGGAGGGCGAACCUAAUCUAGAGAAGGAAGCCCCUGAAGUGGCAAGCCACAAAUAGUAACCAGUGGAAGACAAGGUUUGAACCAUUGACCUCCCAUCCACAACCAAGACUAAAAUAUCCGCCAAGCAAUUUCUGUUACUAGAGGUCAUCCCUGAAUGGAUUCACCAUCUACUGAUCUUAGAAAUAGUCACAAGCUAAUCUUCUUUCAUUCUUUUUACCAUUGUCCAUACAGUAAUUUAAUCCAACAGUUAAAGGAAGCAGACAGAGGUCAGCAGAGCACUGGAGCUACAUCCAAUAUUAGCACUAAGUCGUACUAGCUAGUAGUAAAAGAGUAUAAAGGCUUGCUGCCAAUUACGUUAGACAUCAGGUCAGCUGCUGCUCGCACUUAGUAUAGGGACAAAACAUGAUCUCAUUGAUAGAUUACAAGAACCUGGUACGAGAAACUUGGGCAAGAUAAAAGGGUUAAAAGAGGUUAACCAUGGAAUGACCCAAGGGAAUAAGACACAACAUGACCCAAAUAAUAAUUUGGCUUGUUCCCUCAUGCUGAUUCCUUGGCUUC
rnacentral:lncRNA from 1 species